GGGGGGGGGGGGGGGGGGGUGAUGUCACAACUAGCAUUUUUAGCUAGGAAGUUAUGUCCUAAUGUAAACAUCAAUUAUUGCAAGACUUGUAAUCUAAGUGGAUAUCAUACUCUAUGCUCAAUCAGAAUCAUCCAUUUAAAUCAAUACUCCUGAGUGAAGUUCAAUACCUAAUACAAUGCAUCUCGUAUACUUAACUAUUGGUCUGAAAACCUAAAAAUCCAGGUUCAAAUUUAUUAUGGACUAGGAUCCUCUUAUUGGGCCUAAUGGGCUAGUAAACCAUCUAUUUGAUGAUUUUGGACCAAUGAAAUCCAUUUGGGCUCUAGUUGGGCCUACAUUUGUCAAACCAUAGCCAUUGGGCCAUGUUGGGCCUAAAAUAACUCACUUAUUUAUCAUGGGCCAUGAUGGGUCGUGAACCAUUCUAAUGAACCAUGAUGGGUCGUGAACCCAUCUUCUCAUGGUAAUUAGGCCGUAAACCCCAUCCCUUUACCACCUUUGGUCCGUGAACCCUCAAGAAGGGCCCAAUGGGCCGAAAAUUCUCAACUUGGGCCUCGUAAUCUCAAAUAUAAGCUAGUAUGUCCCAAAAUUUUCCCCUUAUCUUUUCUUCUCCCUCAUUCUCAGCCCAACGUUUAUAAAAAAAUAAAAAAAUAACAAGAUGAUAAUUAAGUGUUGCCACCUAAUUGUUGUUCAAAGGAUAAUUAAGCAAAUUACACACCAUGUCUCUAGAAAAUCUCAUGUUUCCAUGCAAUAAUCUUGUCAUCUCUCUCUUCCCUCCCUUUUCUUCUUACUGUCGGCCCAAACAACCCACCACUACCCUCAUUUUACUCUCAAAUCCACUCAAACAUUUCUCUAUAAGAACACUCAAAGAAACCUCCUCUAUUCUUCUUAGAAUUCGUGUGUACUUAGGUGUGUCUCAAAGAAAAUCUCUUCAAGCUUCAUACUAAGGUAAGAUCAUGUAAACUCAAAGUGAUUUAUUUCAUUUUAUGGUAGAUCCAUCCUCAUAAGCACAUGUAUUCAUGAUCAUGCUCUUAAAACUUCUUAGAAUUCGAAGAUCUCCUCUCAAGAAGACUUUUAGGGCGAGAUCCUUCUCAACCUUCAUCCAAGACCGAAAACAACAACCCAAAGUGAGUUCAUACCCCUUAUUUUCGGUUUUUAUUUUGUUUUGGGGAGAAUACAAGUUGUUUUGUGUGGAUCUAUGUAUGUAUGCAUGAUUUUUGUAUGUUUUUCAUGUUAUAUAUGUGAUUAUGUGUUUUAAACUCCAUGAACUUAAAGAUCUACUAAAAGAUGAUGCUAUUUGUAGAACAUAACACUCAUUUUAACUUAUCUUACCAAGAAAUGGUCUUAAAAUACAUACAAGCUACUUAAAACCAAGAAAACUGCAUAAGAGGGCCGAAAGUGACAAAAUGACCGAAAAUGGGUAUAUUUGUGUAACUCACGGUUAGUAGGGGUCAAAAGGGUUAUUUUUGCUAAACAUGGCUAUUUACGACAUAUGAGACUCCACAAGGUCUAAAAAUGUAAAAAAUUUCAUAAUUGGGCCUUAAUUGGGCUUUUCACGGCUUUUGGGCCAAAUUGCAAAAUUUUGGACUUUUGUGGGCUUAAGUGUCAUCUUAACACAAAGUUGUGCCAAAAAUGUAAGUUUUCGAUAAAAAGGGAUGGAAAUGUACAUUUGUUAGAACUUGGGCCAAAAAGAUAAAAAAUAUUUACAAAUGGGCCAAGAAUGCACAUUUUCAUAAAAAUCAAGCCAAAAAUUUUAUUUUGACAAACAGGAGUUAAAAAUGUUAUUUUUACAAAAACUAGCCUUAAAUGCAAGUUUUGUUCAUAAAGGGGCCCAAAAUGUUAUUUUUUAAUCAAAAACGUGCCUUAAUUGUAAAUUUUUGGCUUAAUGGGCCAAGAAUGUCAUUUUUACAAGAAGUGGGCCUUUUAUGUAAUUUUGGUAAAUAAUUGAGCUAAAACAAGCAAUAUAAUAACAAACGGGCUAAUUACGUCAUUCUCAUGUUUAUCGGGCCUUAGUGACCCAUUUAUAUGCUUGAUAGGUCAUGUAUACUCUUUACAUGUUUAUUGGGCCUUGUUGACCCUUUUACAUGCUCGACGGACCUUGGAUACUCCUUGCGUGCUUAUUGGGCCUGUAAAUAAUAUACAUUUGAAAUGGGCCUCAGUUGUCAUUUUACAUAUAUAUUGGGCCCGAAAUAUAUAAUCUCAUUCCUUUUGAGCCUAGAAUGAUUUACAUGCUUAGUGGGCCUUAGUUGUCCACUUACAUGUUCAUUGGGUCUGGAAUGUACCUUAUAUGUUUCUCUUCGCGUAAAUUCGAUUAAGGAUCUAGUGAGACGUGUUGGUUGACACCUAUUGAGUGUACGAUAGUAGUCUGUAGUUAUAACCAGAGUCUCUUGGAGGGAGAGCGGGGUUUGUGUAUAGAUCUAUACGGGGAUGACACCCACACCUAAGUUGUUCGCUAUAGUUAGACUAAACCAGUCUAGGGUGAUGAAAACCUUACUUUAUUCCAUCGACGUCUAUAAACACCAAGACAGGCGAAAUUGUCAUUAUCUAUUAUGGUUAUAACGUCUCACUUAGAGGAAUUAACGUUAUAAAAUUUACGGGAGACCAUUCUCUUUUCUCAUUGGAUUACUCGGUAACAUACUCGCGCCAUUACUCAACCCCGGGAGUUGAUAUACCAACAUUCUCUAUCACAGACAACAUCGGGUUGUCUGGGGGCAUUCUAUUUACAUUCUCUUCAUUUUCUUUUUGCAUUCUAGUAAAAAUUAACAAACAAACAUACUAAAUUGUUUUCAGAAAAUAUAGGAUUUUCUGGUGGUUACAAAUUUAUACAAUUCAUUUUCUCAAACAUGCUUAUGAACUCACCAACAUUUUUAUGUUAACCUUUUUAAAUUAACUUGUAUUCUCAGAAAACCGUUGAGCAGGUUGGGCGGAACGAAUUAAUGGAUAUUUUGUAUAUUUUGUUUCAUCAUACUUUAACUAUAUGGGCAUGUAAUACUCAAUACACAAUACUCGAUGUAAACAAUGUAUGUUGUUAUAUUACAUGUGUGAUGAUGAUGAUGUUAUUUUUAAGAAUAAAACCCUAAUUGAGAUUUGAUGAACAAGAUGCGGAAAAUAAGAGCAAACAAAAAUAUGAAGAUUAUGUCUAAUGAACACUUGAUUUAUUGAAUUAUGAGGAACAAAUUACACUUUAAGAAUAAGAAUCUAACUCUACAAGAAACCUCACAACGUGGCGGCAACAUUUUGCCUCACUCUUUACCCUAGUUAUGAAUAAUACAUGACUAUUUAUAGGGAAAAGACAAGUUUUGGGAUUUUAACCUACGCUUCAUCAAGGGGGCCCAUUUCCAUAAUCCAUGGGGUACUUUGAAACCCUAGAAUCUCCCCCUCAAAGUAUGGAAUGGAUGACAAGGCUUCAACAUCCAAAACAAGCGUCUAGCAAAUAAGAAAUGAUCUCGCAACGAGGAAUAUUUGAAGUAAUCCACAAAUCUUGAUUCUUCAAUAGUCUUCAAAAACGGGUUCUAGGAUAUGUGAACCAAGCACUGAAGUAAUGUUUUUAAACUUCAUUUUCUGAUGUAAUCCCAAAGAUCUUCAAUAAAGCCAAACCCGCCAUAAAAACUCAUUUCAGAACAAAGAAACCAAAUCACUUCUUGUCUUUGAAGAGCUCCCCCUCUAAGUCACAAUGAUCUUCAAAUAAGCUAAUGAUAUAAGCCACCAAAAAUUAUCAUGUAACAACCCAAUUUUUAAGAUUCGUACGCCACUUGAUCGAGAAAGUACUAGAAGUCGGAGAUAUAACAAGUCCUUAUAAGAGAUCGAUGAAGAACUGCUACUGUGAAAGAUACUUCUCUGCAAAAGCUUUAGAAGAGCUCGAUGAAUAAAUGCUACUGAAAAAGCUACCUUCAUAAUUCUACCACAAGCUUUAUCAAAAAUCUUCAAACUUGAAAAGUCACAAAUCCAAUUUUGAAUGGCCAUACCAAAUUCUCCCCCGAUUUAUAAUAAAAAAACGUGAUUAUAAAGCCUUCAAAUGGUCAUGAGAAUGAUCUUGAAUGGAUAAAAAAUUACUAUUCUCCCCCGUGACAGAAUGAUAUAAAUGAUGAAGUAUAAAAUCCAAAAUAGUCGAAAAAAUUUGACGUUAUCACGAAAAACGACUUUCCGAACCGACAAGGCUUGAUGGAAUCCUUACUUCUAUGUUAACAAAAAAAAACAUGUGCGUUAAAAAAUCCAAAACUGUUCACCAGCCCUCAAAUUUGCAAACUUUUCGAAAAAUGGGCUGAAACUGUCACUUUGCUGAAAUUCUCGGACUGAAAAGGUAAUUUUGCAUCAAUUUCCCCCUUUAAUUGUAACAGUUACUGGAAAUGGACCAAAACUGCCAAGCUGUGAAAACAACAGGGACCAAAAUGUCAAAUCGUUGAAGUUGCAGGGACCAGUAGUGUAACAUGAGUCAUCUUCCCCAUUGAUACAAGCGAUUGACGAACACAAUGAUAUCCCCGUUUAAAAAAGACUUCGAAUCCAGGAAAUUACCAACCCCGUAUCACCCUUCGUUCCGAGCACACAUACUUGAGUCCGAAUCCGAGCACAUUCACAGAUCAAUUGCAAGACGAUACACCAUUACGAACGAUUUCAGUCUCGCUACAAAACCCGGUACAGGUUCGUUGCGAAUCAAGGCACCCCGAAUCCAUGACCUCUCGCUACGAAUCAAUCGAUUAUACCCCAAUGCGAAUCUAUGUCUACGAACGUUCGUGAAAGAAGAGUGCGAGCCCAAUUCCGAUCGUUCGUAAGUUGGCGUUCACAAUACAUCAAUUUUGACUUUUUCUAGUUGACUUGCAGGAACAUCCGCUCAAAUCACCCCAUUUCAUACGUUCGCAUGUAAGACUUUCGCACUUGUUCACCCUGAUUGACUUACGAUUCGGAUUUCAUUCAUUCGCAGGUUAGGACUUUCACAGCGAAUUUGACUUUUCAAUUUUGUCUAUUUUUCAUCCCAAUUGCUUUCCAGCUCUCGUUCACAUCAUACUUCUGAUUACAACUUAAGCCAUGAUUGCAAGACCCAUUUUAUCACGAACCAGAAGAAUGUGAAGCACCAAAUUUUAUUUUGACUUUUUGCAUAGACUACCAAAACGAGAUCCAACACAGUUCAUCCCAUCUUCAUCAUUGUUAUCUGUCCUUGAUUGUUCUUCAAAGCACACCCAAUCAAAGAUUCAUAAAUAUUGUUCUCAAACAAAUUGAUUGAAACAGAUUGGUCAUUCAAUCUAGGCCUGUCAAAUCGUGUCAUCGUGUCGUGUUUCUGUCUGACACGACACAGAAACACGACACGACACGACAAUGUUUUUUGUAACACGAACACGACACGACACGAUGUCGUGUUUUUUUUCACUAACACGAAAACGAACCAAUUAAAAAACGACAACACGACACGACACGACAAAGAUAAUAUUACAUAACUAUUAUUUUAUUUGAUUCAUAUUUAAUCAUAUAUAACACGAUAAAAACGAAAAACACGACAAACACGACAAACACAUGCUCAAUCGUGUCAAUUUCGUGUGGAUUUGUAAACACGAACACGACAUCGUGUUUUUUAUAUUUGACACGAACACGACACGAAAACGAAUUCGAAUUUUGAUUUCGUCCCAAUUUCGUUUCGUGUCGUGUAUUUUUGUCGUGUCGUGUCAUAAAUUGACACCCCUAAUUCAAUCACAAGAUCAUACAAAAAAAAAUCAAGAUUGAUCGAAUAUUGAUUACAGAAUGAAUCGAACACAAGAAACACUCUAUAAUACAGACACUAUUAUCGAGAAGAUUAAUUCAAUGAAAAGAUUGUAAUCAAACCAAUGGAAAACACAUGAUUUUGAAUUGAUUAGAAUACAAGAACACUUAAUCGUCAAAUAGAUGAACACAUCGUUUUAAUAAUGAAUUUUGAUUUGAGGACCAAAUUUUGCGACAUCGACAGCAAUAUAUAUCAAAAAUGAUGAACAAUGGACGAAAAAUGUGAGCUCAAGAAUGAACAGUAAACGACACUAGUUAGGCUCAGGAACAAUAUGGAAUUGAAUUAAUGGAUUAAAACAAAAGAAACAAAUCCAUCCACAACAAACAAAUGAUCCAAUCCAAUCAAAAAUAUGAACUUAAGAACGAAUGGGAUUAAAAAAAAUACCAGAUGAACAGAAUACAUAAGUAUCCAUGAAUAGUUGCUUGAACAAAAAGCUUGAUUCCAAGACGCCAAAACAUCCAAAAUCUUCAAUAACUUGUGCAGAAAAUCAUCAAACCAAGAAUCGAUACUUAAACAAUCAAUAGAUCUUCAAAGACCCACUCUGAUACCACUUGUUGGGAAUAAAACCCUAAUUGAGAUUUGAUGAAUAAGAUGCGGAAAAUAAGAACAAACACAAAUAUGAAGAUUAUGUCGAAUGAUCACUCGAUUUAUUGAAUUAUGAGGAACAAAUUACACUUUAAGAAUAAGGAUCUAACUCUACAAGAAACCUCACAAUGUGGCGGCUACAUUUUGUCUCACUCUUUACCCUAAUUAUGAAUAAUACAUGACUAUUUAUAGGGAAAAGACAAGUCUUGGGCUUUUAACCUACACUUCAUCAAGGGGGCCCAUUUCCAUAAUCCAUGGAGUACUAUGAAACCCUAAAGUUAUGUUUCAAUUAUAUACUAUGUGAUGGUACUAUAAAGAUGAAAGUCACACCAAGCCCCCAGACGUUUCCACCGUCUAGUUCGGAGGUGUGACAGUACUCAAGACCAUUUAGUUGAUUCAGUAGGUGCGUGAUAGGUUGCGUAUCGUGCAGAGCAGGCAUAAAAAUUUACACUGACCAACGCCAAUCUGACCUUGAGUUUCAGAUGAGAGAUCUUGUGCUCCUAAAGGUUUCACCUUGGAAAGAUGUCAUCCGGUUUUGAAAGCGGGGAAAGUUAGGCCCCAUAUUUAUUGGUUCAUUCAGAUUUAUCGCUUGGGUGGGCAAGGUUACGUAUCGAUUGGAUUUACCCAUCGAGCUUUGCCAGAUUCACGACACAUUUCAUGUCUCUCAACUGCGGAAGUGUCUGACUAAUGAUUCCGAAAUGGUUCAUUUGGAUGACAUUCAGGUUGAUGAUUGCCUAAAUUAUAUAGAGAGACCGGAUGUGAUUCUAGACAGAAGGACGAAGACCUUGCGCAACAAGGUAGUAAGUUUGGUGAAGGUGCAAUGGCAUCACCAUAAAGGGUUCCAAAUGGACUUGGGAACCCAAAUAUGAUAUGAGGGAGCAUUAUCCUGAAUUAUUUGCAGCAACAGAUUUCGAGGAAGAAAUCUGAUUCAAGUGGGGGGGAGUUGUAACAACCGUUUCCUAGUAUGGUUCUUAUGAUUUUAGUUUCAUUAAUUUAGUUUGGGAUUUUGUCUAAGCCACGACGUGAUGAUGGAUUGACCACGAUAUGGCAGCCCGGUUUAGGAAAAUGCGCAUCCAUAACCAUCACGACGUGGCAAGGUCUUGGACAUGAACGUGACGACGACUAGGGUUUAAAACCCUAGGUUUCGGGAUUAGUGCCCCAUUUAAAAGCAUUAACUCCUAAGGUCGUCUCAUUUGGCAGCCUCCAUCCUCUAAAAGCGAUCCCCACCUAAACACAAGCCUCUUUAUGUGUGUUCUAAGAGUGUAAAACCAUUUUGUGAAUCUUAAGAAGAAGGAGUCAAUCUAGUGGUUUGGAAGCUUGGUUUUGGAUUGGAUCUAGCAUCUUUAUCUCAUUUCUGACCUUGUGGAGAUAUAAAGUAUCAACCUUGAUCACUGUAGCUUUAGAUCUUAUGCUAGGCCAUUUUAUGAGCUUUUAGUCCCAAUCUUCUUGUCUUUGGAGUUUGGUUAAACUCCAGAGCAUUUGAGUGCAUUAUAUAGUUCUAGACCAUGGUGUUGGUUGGAAAGUGGUCUUGCAUGACCUACGGUGGUGUCCAUGUAAUUGGUGCAACCAUUAAGAACCUAGGAUUAGAGAUCUCGACUUAUUGGAGUGUAUUAAUGGAUAAAGUUGGAAACUUUGUCCAAUAAGACCUUAAGGAGAUUUAAAUUUGAGCUUUGGAGCUCUUGGUGUAAAGGGAUACGAGCUUAAUCCAUUAAGUUGUUUAUGCCUAGUUACCAUGACGUGGUGGUUGGCCUGGUCGCGAUUGUUUUGUCGUAAUGCUCUCACGAUGUGGCCAAUGAGUGGUCACGACAUGAGGAUUGUCUGGGGUGACUUUGACCGUUGACUUUUUGACAUGGUUGACUUUUGGAUAAAUGGUUAGUGUGAGAGGUAGACUAAGGAUUAAUCUUGAAUAUUUCGAUAGGUGGGUUGUACCACCGGUUCCUUGAUUAGUUCGAGAUGUGGUUGAUCAUAUUCGAAUGUGAGGUGAGUUUUCUCACUAUACUAUGUAGAAUGUUAUAUUAUCUUCUUAUUGUUGCAUAUAUGUUGGAUUCAGCCCAUUAUGUUGGGUGGGGCCCGUUAUGUGGGCAGGGUCCGAUGUUAUGUAUGGUAUGUGGUAUUUCCGAGAACUCACUAAGCUUUGUGCUUAUUGUUUUGUGGUUUAAAUGUUUCAGGUACUUCUGGUUCCAAAGGGAAGUGCCCGACAUGAUUGCACAACAUCCCUGAAUUUUUAUUCCGCACUGUUUAUUUGAUUUACUCUGAUGUUAAGAAUAUUUAUACUUUGGUUGGUUUUGGAACAAAUGGUUGUAUCAUUUUGGGUGUUUUGAAAAUGAAAUUUUUACUAGUAUUUUUUGGGACCUUACACAUUCUUUUUAUUUAUUUUUCUACUCCAAACAUAUUUUUUGACUCCAAACAAACCUUCAACAUUUUUGGUUUUUCUCGAAAAACCCCUUACAUUUUAUAACUUUUUGUGAAAAAAAUGACUAAAAGGGUCGGAUAAAAAAUACAACUUUUUAGGCAAAAAGUAAAGAAAAUGUUUGAUAAAGUCUCAAUAUUUUGGGUCAGUAUAUGGUUUAAUCAUAAUAUUUAUUUUUUGAACAAAAAAAGUCUCGAUUAUUUAUUUUUAUACGUUGAUCUGUUAUUUUGUAUUGGAAAAAAAUAAAGGUUAUUUUAUUAAUUUGGGUAAAAUAUAAAAUAAUGGAGACUUUUAAAAAAUAAAAGUUAGAGUUAAGUCAUAAACUAACCUAAAAUAUUGAACUGAUAUUUUUUCAAAAAAAUAAAUUUAAACUUUAAUCCAGAAAAUAUUAUAUAAGAUAGAACAAAUUACAUGAAUGGUCCUUAAGGUUUUGCUUUUUUCCCUAAAGUAGUCCCUACGAAACUUUUUCCCCUCAGAUGGUACCUACGGAGCAAACCUUGCACACAAAAGGCCCCUAUGACUAACUUUGUUAACAGAUUCUGUUAAGUUUUAUUAAAUGACAAAAAUAUCCUUUGUUUUAUGCACACAGAUCCCCCCCCCCCUCUCUCUCUCUCUCUCUCACAACAAAAAGUCAAAAACAUUAGCCAUCAUCAUUUUCACACCACCUAAUUCACAAUCUUCACACCGUCUCCAUCAUUUUUUCAGGUCAAAAACAAUCUUCGUCAUUUUCACACCAACUAAAUCAAACCUAGAAACUUCAUCUUCAAAUAACCACCCAUAUCCCCACCCACCGUAUGCCCUUCUCUAUGUCAUUCCCCUUCCACCUGAUAUUCUACCGGAUAAACAGUGCUUCUGAAACCCUAAAAAUUAAAAGAGGCAGAUGAAUGUCAUGAUCGAUUGUUGAUGAAGGCAUAUCUGUGAAAUCAAAAACACUGGCUGCUGAUGAAGGUCAAAUGGAUACGAAUUAGAUCAACAAGCACAUCGCCAGUUGAGAACCAAGGGAACAAGUCUCCUUCUUCAUCUGAUCGGGGAGCAAAAUGUUCAAGGCUGCUUAACCCCUUGGAAGGGAACGAGCAGUAACAAUAGCGAAGGAAGGGAGGUUUGUGGGGUUUUUUUAACAACCGAAUGAGAGAUUAGAAGCGGCGGUGGCAGCUCCAUGUUCGCCGACAACUUCUUUGAUAGAAAGAACAAGAAAUCAAUCUCAUCAUAUCUGAACCCAUUAGAGGAGGUGACACUUCGACUUCUUGCUUUAUUUUGGUCUAGAGUCUGGGAAGGGAUUGGUGGUGGUGGAAGGCGGUGUCUCCAUUGGCGAUUUUGUUAGGGUUGGGGUUUAAAAGGGUUUAAAAGGAUCCAUCUGAUCCAGGUUUAAAGCUUUUUUUGUUGCAAAUCAAAACCCUGUCUUUCUGAAUCUAACGAUCUUCCCGUUCAUGAGAUUUCAAGAGAGAGGAGAAGAUGGAGGUGGCAUGUCAGCGAGGACGAUGUAAGGUGGGGGAGAGACAUGCCGGAGAAUAUGAAUUGGGCGGUGCUUUAAUGAGAGAGAGAGAGAGAGAGAGAGAGAUUUUUUAAUUUGAAAUGAAUAAAAUAUUAAAAAUAAAUAAAAACAAAGGGUAAUUUCGUCUUUUCACACACACACAUAACAAAUUAUGUUAACAAAGUUAGUCAUAGGGGCCUUUUGUGUGCAAGGUUUGCUCCGUAGGUACCAUCUGAGGGAAAAGAAUUUCGUAGGUACUAUUUUAGGGAAAAAAGAAAAACCUUAAGGACCAUUCGUGUAAUUUGUUCUAUAAGAUAUUUUAUGAAAUUAAGCCUUAUGCUUAAAGGUAGGGUUUUAUUUCAGCAAUGGUUGAAACUUAGAAACUUUUUAGUAUACACUGAUGGAGAUUUUAGGGAUAUUAAUUUUCAGAUGGUUCAAACCAAUCGAAAGGAUAUCUGAAUUUGAACACUGCACACCAUUUCUGCCGACGGUCUAGGAUCCGAAAUUCUGGAUGAAUGGAGAAUUGGAAUUACAUGUAUCGCCUGUAAUUGCCGAAUUCACCCCAUUAUCACCUGAAGCGUACGAUAUUUUCCUUAUCUAUCUUGCGAGGAAGACUAAUUCAAUCAAUCGAAGGGUGAGAUCCACCAUUUUCAUCAAGGUAACAUUCACACCCUGCCAUUGUUUUCUUCUUAAUUCUUAACUAUUUCGAAUUCCAUUAUCUGAGUACAAGAGGGCAUAUACCAGUAGUAUGCCACAUCUAAUGAUUUCUUUAUCAUUAUCAUAUUAUUAUUUAUGUUACAUUACUGUAGAUAAUAGUUUUAUAUGGUUACUUGAUGCAAUAGUGUGGCAACACAUUUUGGGUAUCGAUCAUUUGGAUAGUGCCUCUGUCGUAAAACCAAUCACCAACUGCCUGUGCAAUAGCCUGUAAAAAUUGUGUUUCAACUUACAAUGCUAUAGAAAUAGAGACGAUGAGUGAACAUGUUUGAAGGAGAUCGAGAUGUUUACCUUAUGGUUCAAUUCCCAAGCAGGAUUUCCUGACCAUUUUGAUUGGUAUUCACAUUGGCCAUGAGUAAAACAAUUGUUAACAAACCAUCCUCUUGAUGAACCAUUUCCAACCACCAAAAAUGCUUCUAAAAACUCCCAUCUGAAAUCUAAUCAAAAGCAACAAGAAAAAGAUAUUACAAGUGUCGUCUACUUUCUAUAAACUAACUAAGUGGCUGUUUGAUAACAUCUUUAUGGAGCCAUUCAGAGGUCAACAUUCAGCGAGUUUAUUGACCUUGUAGCCUUUGGAUCUGUGCAGAUGAACACACGUUUAUAUCUUCCUUGCAUUUGGUAAAGAGUCCAUUAGGAUCUGCUUGUGGCGUAGCCAAGAUGUUUUGUACCUUAAUAUUUACAAAAUCAAGUCAAAAAACAAGUGUAAGAUGUAAUCCAUUCAACUUGAUUUGUACUUAGGAGAAAAAAAAUUCUGAUAUAUUGUUUUAAAAGCUUACCUGGAAUGUAUCGUAUGUAGUUUGUAAUAUAAAAACAGGUGUUUUGACAUAUGGGAUGACAAAUUGUGGGUAGAAACACUACAAUAUAAUUUUCGUUAGUAAAGUAGGUUCCAUGAAUCUAUGGUGAGGUGAGUAUAAAAUGUAAGCAAGAUACAAGUGCUUACUAGACUUGGCUUCAUUUUUGAAGUACAUUCGGGAUUCAAAUUUUUAGAUGAUCCCUAUAAACACCAAUAAACGUUUAUCUUCCAAAUUAUGUGAUUUUUGGAAUAAUUUACAUCAUGAGCUAUCGAAAAGGAAUAGUAAAAGGAGAUAACAAUAACAUACAUGUAAUGUAACUAUCAUAUCGUAGUAUCCCUCAAACUUAUAUUCUCCAGAUAGGUCUUUUCUGUUAACAUUCAACGAAAAGUACAUAUGAAUAACCAUAUCGAUUGGAAAGAAAUGUACAUAUGUAUGAGAAAUAAUAAUGUCUUAAUUGAUGUGGGAAGAUAAACUUACACAUGAGCAAAAUAACCAGCAUCAGAAAAGCAUUUUACUCGAGUUCUUUUGUGAAAGAGAUCUCGGAACUUGUCACAGUGUAGUAUGGAAGCCAAUCCACCAGCGGAAGAUCCCGACAAAAGAACCUGUUGAAAUUGUGUUUGAGAUUCUUAAAAUAGAAACAAACGAGAAUACAAAUAGAGGGGAUAGAUUUUACAUUUGAUGCAAACUUCAUCCCUUUGCUAAGCAACUCCUCAACAAUGGCAUUAAAGACCCUUGCACCCCUGAAAUGAAGAUUUGUAGCCUUCAAAACAAAUGACAAUGACAUAAUUCAUAAGAAAUAGUAAGAUGCUAAGAUAAACACAAAUUAACUCGAAUUUAACCCAAAUAUAAUNNNNNNNNNNNNNNNNNNNNNNNNNNNNNNNNNNNNNNNNNNNNNNNNNNNNNNNNNNNNNNNNNNNNNNNNNNNNNNNNNNNNNNNNNNNNNNNNNNNNNNNNNNNNNNNNNNNNNNNNNNNNNNNNNNNNNNNNNNNNNNNNNNNNNNNNNNNNNNNNNNNNNNNNNNNNNNNNNNNNNNNNNNNNNNNNNNNNNNNNNNNNNNNNNNNNNNNNNNNNNNNNNNNNNNNNNNNNNNNNNNNNNNNNNNNNNNNNNNNNNNNNNNNNNNNNNNNNNNNNNNNNNNNNNNNNNNNNNNNNNNNNNNNNNNNNNNNNNNNNNNNNNNNNNNNNNNNNNNNNNNNNNNNNNNNNNNNNNNNNNNNNNNNNNNNNNNNNNNNNNNNNNNNNNNNNNNNNNNNNNNNNNNNNNNNNNNNNNNNNNNNNNNNNNNNNNNNNNNNNNNNNNNNNNNNNNNNNNNNNNNNNNNNNNNNNNNNNNNUAUAUGAACCAGCCAAUUUUGAAGACCUUCACCAAAACCUGCAUCAAACUGAUAUGCUGGUGGGCUUCCAUCUAAGCAAACUGUAGACCACCAUUUACCACAAUCAAAAACAAAAACUUUCUAUUAAUAGAAAGAAAAAAAAAGACAGGUUAAACAAUCAAAGUUCACCUGCUCCUUUGGCCACAGCUCCCUCAAUGAGGGUUAUACCCUCUCCACUUGUGUUUUCAAUUUUUAGAAGGAUGAAUAUACAUACUAGUGAGUGUGGGAGCCAUUUGUUUGAUCUUACUUUCAUCGUAGUAUAUACUCAAAAAAUUGCNNNNNNNNNNNNNNNNNNNNNNNNNNNNNNNNNNNNNNNNNNNNNNNNNNNNNNNNNNNNNNNNNNNNNNNNNNNNNNNNNNNNNNNNNNNNNNNNNNNNNNNNNNNNNNNNNNNNNNNNNNNNNNNNNNNNNNNNNNNNNNNNNNNNNNNNNNNNNNNNNNNNNNNNNNNNNNNNNUAUAUAUAGUAAAUUUAAAUUCAUAAUAUGAAACAAACUUUAAAAGAUAUGAUAUGAUGAACUAAGAAAAUUGCUUCUGCUUAUUUAUUUACUUUUGUUAAAUUAGUAAAAAAUAUUAAGAUAUAGUUAUUGUAAAAUCAUAAAUAUAUUUUGGAUUUCAAACAGGAAGAAGAACAUGUUCAAUAUUCGAAGAAAAAAGUAUGUUCAUUUUAUACUGAAAUUUAAGUUUUCACAAAAAAUUAAAGAAUCAUGGCAAAAGCGAGAUAGAUAAAUAACGAUAAAAAUACAAAAAGUCUCGUUAAAUUGAAAAACUGGUAAUAAUAAAUAAUAUUUCGUAUUCUGAAAUUUUAAGAACAUAUCCUAGACCUAACAAAAAAUUAAAGAAACCUGAAAAAGAUGGAGUAGAUUGUAAUAAAUGCAUAAAAAAGACAUUUAGUUAAAAAAAAUAAAAACGAUUAUGCUAGAGACAAUAGAAGUUUUUUUGAAAAUGUUUGGUAGAGAGAAAAAUCCGUGGCUUUUUCAACACUAAGAUCCAAAAUGGUCCAUCUCGAAAAUGGAGAUCAAUUUGACAAAUACUCAAAAAUUAGAUUAUUUCCUUUUAUUUAUGAAAAUCAUGUGAUAUUUAUGUUUUAUUAUUCUAAUAUUAAUUAUUUUAUUUAUAUGGAUACCGAUGCAUACCACUACCGUCCACUAAAUGAUGCACUCGACACGCGUGGUUCAAGGCUUGGCAUGUGGGUUUUGCAUCCCAAAUAUUUAGUGUUUUGACCACUACCAAACCAAAUUUAUAAAAGAUAAUCCACAAUAUAUUUCUCAAGUAAUAUUAUACGUGAUAUGUUAUCAAGGUUUUAAAAAUCGUUCGACGGUAGUUUGACGGUCGAUUGGUGUUAAAGGAUUAAUUGAGGACCAUAGAUUAUUAAUAGAAUAUUAAAAUUAAUCAAAGAUUAAUAUAUUUAAGAAAAAUAAGUACUUCAAAAUUAAAAAAUAAGAGAAUUUGUAAUUUAAAAAUACAAAAAUUUGAACAUUUUGGUAUAAUAUUUGAAAUUUUGAAAUUUUUGGAGUAAUUUUUUUUUUAAUUUUUUUUUUUUACUUUUGUUGCUUUUCUUAACUGAUUAAUCCCGCUAAAACCAAUUACUCCAUAAUUUCCGUCAAACAUACUAAUCCUAGUCGGUUGAAGAAUAUCAAACGAUUAAUCCACGAUUAGUCUCAAUUUCUGCAACCAUGUAUAUGAUACAUUCAUGCUAUGUAUCUUUUUUUUUUUUGGAACGGUGGAAUUUUAUUAGAAACUAGUAAGGAGCUAGAAAAAGAAUUACAUCAAAAUAGUAGCUGAAAUAGGAUUAUGAAGCCAAGAAGACCAACUAAGCUUGACUUUUGUACACCUAAUUGAAAUCCAAUAAAAAGUCUUAAAAACAACAUCAUCAAAAAUCAAAGUUUUCCUGGGAAUAGCUGCUCCAAAAAUCGUUGUAUUUCUGAAAUUCCAGAUGCACCAAAACGAAAUUAAAAUCAUUGCAUUAAAAACUUUCCAUUGACCAAUUCAUCAAGGACAAGACACUGGCCAGUUGAUAAGAGAAUCCACAGUAAUCUGAGAAGGAAGAUUGACACCCCACCAAACAGCAAUACGAGACCAUAAGAUAAUCAAAUCAGGGCACUCUACAAAAAUAUGAUUAAUAGUCUCCACCCUAGAAGAGCAAAUAGGACAAAGAAUGGAAUAUACCAAAAUACCCCUAUGAGAUAAAUGCUCUCUAGUAGGGAUACUAAAAAGUCUAAUCCUCCAAAUAAGAAUAUUAAUUUUAAUAGGAAUCCAAUGAGUAACACGACCACCAGUGAAAAGCAUAAUACCAUCCAAAUAUCUCCUUGCUGAAGAAAAUGAAUAAGUAUCUGAAAUAUCAAGAACCCAGCCCAGUCUAUCUGGGACUGACUAGAGACGAAAAUCCUGCAAAUGUAAAGUAAAAUUGUCCCAUUGUUCCUGCUCCACACCUCCUCUAGGAUUACGUUUGAAAGUAUUAAACCCCAAACCCAUAAAUAACCUUUCACUAAUAGAAACAUGUCUGUGCAAGUCUAGAAGAUAAACUCUAGGAAAGAUGGAAGACAAAGGCAUAUCACCCCUCCAUACAUCAUGCCAAAAAGACAUAAUUGUCCCAUCACUAACACUAAUAGGGCAAAAAGAAUGAAGGUCGAUAUAUUUUUGUCUCAACUAGGAGAACAUACGAAUAACCCCAACCCAAGGUCCUGUCCCACUAGUAGGAGAGUUCAAGUUCCUACAAGCACAUUCGACCCAUAAAUAGCUUUUAUCACUAUAACCCACAAAAGAUCAGAGCUUUGAUAAAACCUCCACCACCAACGAUAUAUCAUAGCCCUAUUAAAAGAGAAAAGACUUCCGAUUCCUAAUCCUUCUUCAUCCUUUGAAGAAAGAACUCUGUCCCACCUAAUCCUAUGCACCCGAUGUUCGUACCCAUCUUCAACCCAAAAAAAUCUCGCCAUCAAUCUCUCUAACUCCUUCAAGAGGGGGGNNNNNNNNNNNNNNNNNNNNNNNNNNNNNGGGGGGGGGGGGUAAGGAAAAUGUACAUCAUGUAGCUCCUCAAAGAACCCAACGCAGACUUCACCAACGUAAGCCGACCUCCAAUUGAAAGACUCUGAGGCUCUGAGCCGAGCUCGAGCCUAUGUCACUAAGCUUGAUUAGACUUGUGAGCCUAUAUAUAAUAUAAUUUAUUAUUGUAUUUAUAUAAUAAAAUAAAAACAUAUUUGAGGAAUUAGGGAUUUAGGGUAUUAGUAAACAAGCUCGAACCGAACUUAAGUUUAUUUAGGCACGUUAGACAAAAAACAAACCAAACUCAGUAUAAUAAAGCUUGAAUUGAGUCAAGCUCAAGCUCGAACCCCGUAUAAUUUAAACGAACCCGAGCCGAGCCUGUCAGGCUCGAGCUUAGCUCAACUCUUUUGCACCCUUAAACAUUAGCACUGUGUAAUAUCAAAAUUGCAGAAAUUGUCUUGUAUAACAAGGUAUCGGAAAAAAAUAAAAAUAAAAGACGUUAAAUAGCGAACAAGUCGAAUCAAGAUCAAAGUUACAAUCGAGAACUUAUCAUUCGAGAAACACAUCAUGAGGUUGAAACUGUUAGCGUAUUCCACAUCGGUGCGACACGAUAAUAUAAGUGACUAUAUAUGUUAGAGUUCCUUUUCUCUAUAAAAACUUUUUUGAAGAGACAAUCUUGGGCUCCACGUAUAUUUAUAGAAAGCUUUAAAAAACAAUUGAUUACAUCAUGGAUCUUUUUUACUAGUGUCACGAUUUGAAUCCAACCACUCUCUACCAUUUCUACUCAUAGUGAAAUUUUGGAUAAAUGACAAACUGGAAUAUAUGUAUCGCCAUGGAUACCAAAUACAAUCCAUUAUCAACUGCAAGCCAACUGAUCUUGUCCAUCUCGAUUGAUUAUAUAAUUGAUUUCACAAAGUUUGUUCUUUAAUCAUGUAAGCAAUUUUUUUAUUCAACACAUGUUUCACAUCCAUUAUUUGAAUACUUUUAGACAUGUAUUACAUCUAUGAAUUUUUUUAUAAUUAUUAUCGUUUUAUUAUUUGGCUCAUACCAAGAGAACCAUACAUAAGAAAUGGGUUAGUUGAUGCAAUAGUGUGGCAAGAGAUUUUGGCGAUCGCUUAUUCGGACUAUGCUUCUAUCGUAAAACCAAUCACCAACCGACUGUGCAAUAGCCUACAAAAGAUGUGUUAUAUAUGUGACUAACAGAAAUAUAGACUACAAGAGAACAUAUAUGUAUAAGGAGAUCCUUACCUUAUGCCUCAAUUUCCAUGAACGAUAUCCUAACCAUUUUGUUUGGGAUUCAGCUUGGCCGUGAGUAAAGCAACUAUUAACAAACCAUCCUCUUGAAGAACCAUCUCGAACCACCAAAAAUGCUUUUAAAAAAUCCAAUCUAAAAUCUAACCAAUACAACAAUAAUCAAAUGUUACAAGUGUCUCUUCUACUUCCUAUAAGCCUACUAAGACUAUCUUUAACCCUUAACAUAAUUCUACAUCAAAUUUAUAAAAAUAUAAUAAUAAUUCUUGAAAUAGUAAUUCUUCUCCGAUGGUUAUAGUAUUUUUACAACGAAAAUAAUAUUAUUGGUAUAUUCCAUUUGUUUCUGAUCUCCAUAGAUUUUUAAAAAUAAGCCUGAUAAUUGUUAUUUUUAAAAGUUUNUAAUAUGAAUUUAAUUUAUAGUGUAACAUCAAAUGUAACAAAAAUCACAUAAAAAUAUUACUCCCUCCGUCCCAAAUUGAUAGUCUACUUUUAACUUUUGAAGUCUUUUUUCUUUAACUUUGACCUUAAAUAUUUUUAUUUGUGUUAUAUAUUACUUAAUAAAACUUAUAACAAUGAAAAAACAUUAAAAAUAUAACACAUUUAUAUAUUUUGCAUAUCAAGUAUUAUUUAUCAAAAUCAAAAAUAUUUAAGGUCAAAGUUGAAGAAAAAAAACUUCAAAAGUCAAAAGUGGACUACCAAUUUGGGACGAAGGUAGUAAUAUACAAUUACAAAUAAUAAACCAAUUAAAACUACAUUAUUCAAAAUUAAUGGUCAAUUUGUAAAAACAAAUGGUGUUGGAUUGGAGCAACUUUGCUAAAAAAAGGUGCAAAAUUUGGAUUUGGUGUUAGGUUGGAGAUUUCCUAAGAUAUUUUUUUCUCAUUAAGUUGUUUAGAUGAAAUGUUGUCUAGAUAAAUGAUCUUCCUGAAAACCCAUUUCCUGAUUUUCUCUAUUAAAUCAUUCUUUUUUUUUUUUUUUUUACAUUUAAAAAAAAUGUAUAUAUAGUUUACCAUAUUGUGUUUAAGUCCAUUAGUUAAAAAGGAAACAAACGCCUAAAGCCAAGAAUCUUUGAAUAAAAAAGCAAAGACAUUGACCUCGUAGCCUUUGGAUUUGCGGAGAUGAACACAAAUUUAUAUCUUCCUUGCAUUUGGUAAAGAGUCCCAUAGGAUCGGCUUGUGGUGUCGCCAAGAUGUUUUGUACCUUAGUAUUUGCAAAAUUAAGGCAAAGGACAAUCGUAAGCAGUAAUAUGAACUUGAUUUCUACGUUAUUAGAUGAAAUUAUAAAAAUUUGUGAAAUAAUGUGUCAAAGCUUACCUGGAAUGUAUCAUAUAUAGUUUGUAAUAUAAAAAUAGGUGUUUUGACAUAUGGCAUGGAAAAUUGUGGGUAGAAGCACUGCAAUAUCAUUUUUUUUUUCAUGUUCAUCAGUAAAGUGCAUUCUAAGAAUUUUAGAAACAUUCAAGAUACAUGUGCUUACUAGACUUGGCUUCAGUUUCGAAGUACAUUCGGGAUACAAAUUCUUUAAUGAUCCCUAUUAUAAGCACACAAAAAAUAUUCAUCUUCUGAUUUAUAUGAUUUUUCAGACAGUUUAUCUCAAUACUAGUGGAAGAUAACAUACAUGUAAUGUAACCACUUGAUCAAAGUACUCCUCAAACUUAUAUCCUCCAGAGAGGUCUUUUCUGUUAAAAUUCAACAAAAGAAACACAUGUGAACCUUUUGUUAAUUUUGACAUGUAACGAUUGAUCCCUAUAGAAGAAAUGUAGCAUAUAACUGAAUUAAGAAGCUAAACUUACACAUGAGCAAAAUAACCAGCAUCUGAAAAGCAUUUUACUCGAGUACUUUCUGGAAAGAUUUCUCGAAACUUGUCACAGUGAAGAAUGGAAGCCAAUCCACCUGCUGAAGACCCUGACAAAAGAGCCUGUUGGCAUCGGUGUAUAACUUUUGUAAACUAGGAACAACCAAUAAUAUACAAAGAGAAGGGGUCAUGGGGGAUUUUACAUUUGAUGCAAACUUCAUUCCUUUGCUAAGCAACUCCUCAAUAAUGACAUUGAAGAUCCUUGCACCCCUAAAGUGAAGAUUUGUAGCCUUCAAAAUGAAUGACAAUGAGAAUAAGAAUGUUCAACGAUUCUUAUUAUUNAUAUAUAUAUAUAUAUAUUUCUAUUGAUUUUAAGAAUCUAUCAAUGAAAUGGACUGAACUAAGAGCACUUAAAUUCCUGGAAAACAUGGGAAUGCUUGUUAUUAUGUAAAUGUAAGGGCAUUGCUAUUAUGUGUUAGGAAAUGAACAUAUGUUUCUAGUAUGUGCAAAAAUGAAUGUACAUUGCUACUAUGUGAAAGAAAUGAUAGUACCAUGUUAUUACGCAUAAAGAAACAUGUCGUCGUUAUAAAAAUAAAUGUAAAUAUUUUGUUAUUCUGAGUGAAUAGAUUUUAUGAUUUUUAUGUUGCUUGUCUUUAUUGCUACAUAGAUCCGUAAAUAUAUUGUUUUAUGGGCAACAAUUAUAAGUAUGUAGUCAUUAUGGGUAACAACUGUAAGUUACAAUAUUGGCUGUAAAAUGUAACGACCAUUAGUUGUAAUAUUAUGUUGACAAUCUAUUAAAUUGAUAUUAAUCGAUCACAUAUUAAAUUCAAUUUGUAAAAGACCUAAUAAAUAGAAUGCUUUUUUUUGACAAUCUUUAUAAAUUAUAGAAUAAUUAUAUUAUAAAUUUAUUUUUCAGUGUAAAAUUGUGUUAACAAGUUGUAGAUACCAUUAAAAUAAGUAUCAUUCUAAUAUAGAAAAUGAUGAGGAGGACAUCCUACCUAACCAAAGCAUUAACUUUUGAAUAAAACGUAAAUAUUAUCAAUAGUCGGUUUUUAAUUCAAGUGGCUUAAUUGCUAGUUUCCAAAAAUUACAAUGAUGAAUAUAUCAGAAUGAGAAUAUAUGGAUUUUUGGCUUUUGGAAUGAAGUGUAUAUAUGUCGUUUAGAAGUUUUAUAGUUUUUAAAUAAAAAGUAAAAACAUAAAAAAGGUACAAGAUAAGGCAAUGCAAUGAUGAUAUAAAUGUAUGGUACACAUAACACAGGACUUACAGGAUCAACUUCUUCCACAUCUCCAGUAAAUGAUGACCCAUCACAGUACCUCAUAGCGACUCUAUUCCAAUUGUAGAAAUCUAUCCAAAUUAAUUAAUUGCAAAAUAAUUUCCAAAUUAGUUCUUUGAGUCUUAUUGUAACUAAUAUCAUGAUAUCAUAAUAAGCAAUAAAUAUACGUACUCGGAUUUAAUUCUUGCUUAUUGCUCAAAAUCCCUGUGAAGUUGUAAUCAGAACUCUUCAUCAUCUUUGAAGACCCAAAUCGAUUAUACAUUCGUGUACGACAAUCUUCUAUUGAAUUGCACCAUCCCCCACCCUAUCAUAUAUAAUUAAACACAUUUACCAAAAUACAUACAUACAUACAUACAUACAUCCAUACAUACACAUAUACAUAUAUAGUGACCUGUAUAUGAAUCAGCCAAUUUUGAAGGCCUUCACCAAAACCUGCAUCAAACUGGUAUGCAGGUGGGCUUCCAUCCAAACAAACUUCCGACCACCAUUGUUACCACAGUAAAACAAUCAAAUAUUCCUAAAAUAGAAAGAAAGAUGGUUAAAGAAUCGAAAGUCACCUGCUCCUUUGGCCACAGCUCCUUCGAUGAUGUUUAUACCACUAAGUAUACCCUCUUCACUUGUACUUUCUGUUUUUAGAAAGAUAAAUAGACAUACAAGUAUUUGUAGUAGCCAUUGGUUUGAUGUUACUUUCACCAUAGUAUAAACUCGAAAAAUUGUUAAUGAAUAAGUCAAGUCUAGAUAUGUGUGUAUAUAUAUAAUGUACAAGUGGGUUUACUUUUGAAAUAUAUUAAUAAGAUAAUAUGAUAUAAAAGGAAAUUGCUUUAUUUGUUCAUAAAGUUUCUUUUUUCGACAUUAUUUUAUUUAAAUCACAUGUCUGAUUUCUUAGUAACAUGUCAUCCUUUUGAUUUCUUUUUAUUUUCGUUUUUCAUCGUACUAAUUUAGUUAAUUAAUAAGAAAAAUAUGUAAAUAAUAUAAUUUUUUUUAUGGAGAUCGAUGCACACUACCACCCUCCCCUGGUUGAUGCAAACUGGGCGCCUGGUUCAAGGCGUCGACUGUGGAGUUUGCAAUGUUUUUUUUUUUUUUUUUUUUUUUUUUUUUUUGACAAGAUAGGUGUUUCAAAAUUUUAUUUAAUUAAUUUUUUAUUUUUUAUAGUAAAUUAUUAGAAUGGUCCGUUGGGUAAUUUGCAUGUUUAGUCUCUAUUUUUUUUUUUAACUCGGACCUUCUUAACAUCCAAUUUUGUUGCGGUCAUUGAUCCUGUGAAAUAAAUAUAUUACCCUUACUGAUUCUUUUUCUAAUUUAUUUAUUUGGAAUAUAUAUUUUUGUUAUUUGUUAUUACUAAUUUAUUAAUUUAUUUAUUGUUAAAUGUAUUAUUCUUUAAUCUUCACCGAUCUUGUUACUUUCUUGCCGGACCACCAAUACGUCAUCGGAAAUCACCACCACCUCUGUAUGAAUUACCACCAUCUCUCCCACCAGAAUUCAUAAUUCCAACAAGUAGAAAGAUAUGAACCUAGAACACAAUCUCCUAACAAUCUAGAAUUAACAAUUAAAAGUAGAAUUUCAAUUAAACCAAGUCAAUAUAUCCGGGGAGAAAAACAAUCAAAAAAUAGAUCAUUAAACUUCUGAUAGAAGAGAAAACACACAGAAGUUAACUUGAAAAAGUAACCCAACAAUACGAUAAAGCCAUUUUAAGAAAAAUAGAGAUUGACAACAAUCCCACAUCCAAAACGAUGGAGGUAAAUAUGUGAAACAGAUGAGUGAAAAAAUAAAGUUACUUACAUCAGAAGACUAUGAGUGAUUAGAAAAUAAUAACGAAACAGAUUAGUGAACAAUGAAAGUAAUAAUAACAAAACAGAUUAGUGAAAAUAAUAAUGAAAAAUGAAACAGAUGUGAGGCAGCAAAACGAAAGUGAUCGACAAAUAAUAAGCUAUCUUGGACUCAGUAGAAAAAAAACAAAUAGAAGAGAACAAUUGAAGUAACUUAAAUCAGAAGACGAUGGAGGUGAUCGGAGCUAAGGGUGACAGUGAAGACCAGUGGUCGGUGGUCGGACUGAUAGUGCUCGAUGUCGGACGACGACGCUAGAUUGGAGGGAAGACGUCGAUGGGAGAUCGUCGUCUGGUGGUCUUUGUGGUGCGUGGUCGCCGGCUCGCCGCCGAAAGGAAUCGCCANNNNNNNNNNNNNNNNNNNNNNNNNNNNNNNNNNNNNNUGUUUGUUUUUUCUGAGGCAAAAUGUCUGCAGUCUGCGGACCACAUCUGUAGACCUCUGCAGUAGAAGAGGUGGACCAAACGUCUGCAGUCUGAAAAAAGAAGACUGUUUGUUUUUUUAACAUCUGCGGACUACUAAAAUAAACUGAAAUCUAAAUAAACUGAUUUUUUUAAACUUCAAAGUGAUUUUUUAAUAUUUUUAUGACUUUGUUAUAAAUAAUUAACGUAUAUAUUUGAUAAAAACCAACAACUUUGGUUGCAAAGUUAUAACUAAGCAUUAUAAAUAAUGAUCAAAAAAUUUGAUACAUAAAUGGAUGGAAAUAAACUUUGAUUUUUUCAAUUAAAUCCAUUAAAAACGUACCAUAAAUAUUUUCAUGAUAAAUUGACAAUAGUGUAUUAAAUAAUGUUUUACAAAAUUUGACAAAAAAAAUAUAAGAAUAUAUUAUUAUUUUUUUUUUUCAUAUUUAUAUAAACAACUUCAACGACUAUUAUUGUAAUAAAUCCUUAUUUAUAAAUUUAUCAAAAAUAUCAUGUUUGUAUCGUCGAACGUUUUUUUUUUAUUUUUUUUUAUUUCUAAGUUUUGUAUUUUUUUUUUCAAAUUGUUUAUCAUUAAUAAAGUUGGAAAAAAUAUAAAUUAAAGAAAACUUGAAAAAAAUUAAAUAUAUAUAUGUUUUUUAGGCUAGAAGAUGUCUGAAGACGUUAGAAGACUCUGGUCCACAUCUACGCCAAGAAGAGGGCGCGCAGACAUUUUUAGGUCUGCAGUCUUCAAAAAAAUAAACAGUCUGCAAAGGCUAAUGUCUGCGUGGCGCAGACAGAAGAGGCCACGCAGAUCUGCAGACAAAAAACAAACACUACCUAAAAUUAUCACAAAAGUGAACUUUUUCAUAAUUUACUUAAAAAUGAAUCAUAAAGAUAUUUUUUUUGAGAAUUUUUUCUUGUGAAUUAUCUUACAAAUGAAUCAUCUAGUGAUUCAUUUNNNNNNNNNNNNNNNNNNNNNNNNNNNNNNNNNNNNNNNNNNNNNNNNNNNNNNNNNNNNNNNNNNNNNNNNNNNNNNNNNNNNNNNNNNNNNNNNCUUUGUUACACAUGCUCGAGCUUGAGCUCGUUUAACAAACAAGUUUAAAAUUAGGCUUGAGCUCAGCUCGGGCUCGAUAAAAACCGAUCUCAAGUCGAUCUUUUACCGAGUUGAUCCGGAAUAGCUUGCGAGUAGCUUGGAUCAUUUGCACCUCUAGAUGUAGUUAUGCUUAUUCAAUUGGGAUAUGCAAAACACAGAUGAUAUAUGACUUCCAAAUCUAAAGUAAUUGUUGAAAUGAAGAUUUUUUGAACGACAAAUAUAAUAUACUUUUAAACUACUCAUAAUUUCACCUGUCACAUAUGAGACUUGAACCUUUGACUUCAAGGAGGGAAGGCAUGUUAUGAAAGAUCUAUAUACCCAAGAUUAAUUAUAGAAUGAUAUUGCUAUAUAAUAUAUGAUACUAAAGGGUCACAUUAACAACAACUUAAUGCAAAUAUAUUAUUUAUAAGAAUUUGAUCCUUGAUAAAUAAAUAUAAUUUUUGUAAUUAAUUGGAAAUUAUUUAUUUCAUGGAAAUAUUAAUUUUAAAUGUGAAGUAUCAAAACAUAUCAUAAUAUAUCAUAAUGUAUGAUUUAUUAUGUAAUGUACAUCUUUUUGGACCAAAAAAUAUUUAUUUUCUUAUAUGGAUUUAUAUGUUUUAUAAGUUAUAAAAAUUAGAAGAGUUUUUUUUAUAGAAAAACUAGCUUCUUCUUUUUAUAAAAUAUUCAAGAAGACCAUAAAGAAGAAAGAAAAAUUGUUUUUGAUUAAUUUAUUCAAAUACCAUGCUCUUAGAAAUCAUGAUUAAUUAAUUUGAUAAAGCGUGUCUUAAAAUGCUAAGCCUCGUGGGACAAAGGCUUAAAGUAAGAACUUAAAACAACUACUUUUCUCCUUUCUUUCUUAAGCCAAAACCAUGAAAUUUUAGUCUUCCCAUCUCCAUAUUCUCUAUAGUUUUGUCUCUUAAAGUGUUAAGAUCAAAAUAGGAAGAAGUUGAUACUUUACUUUAAUUCUCCUUUAGAACAAAAACUUUGUUUUGUUCUUAAAGGCUUAAGAGUGCUAUUAUUAAAGACUAGCAUUUUAUCAAGUUGGCUAAAUAUUAGUGGAUAAUUCUAGAGAACCUCUUCUUUGAAGCUUAGAGCAUCCACAUCGGUGGUAUUGCAAAACUUGACACAUCAAAUUUAUAACUUAACCCACAUUAAUAUAAUAUUAAUAUAUUUUUUUAAUGGUCCCCACUAAGAAUUAAAAAACUAUUUUAUAUAUUUUAAAAUAUAUGUUUGAAUUACCUUAUAUAGUCAUUUUAUGGUUAUUUUAGGUGAAAAGUCAUAAACCUUUUUUUUAUAAAUCAUGAAUUUGUGACUUUUAAAAACAACUUUUUGAGAGUUUUGAAAAGUCAUUUCUAAAAGCACUUAUCUAUUUACCAAACAUUUUUUUUAGACUUGGUGAGUCAAGAAAUUCUUUUCAUAAGCAACCCCAUCUUUAGUUUGAGAUUGCAUAGAAAGACUAAAAUAUAGUUGUUUAAUUAACUUUUGGUGUAGCGUAAUGUAACAUUCUUUUGAGGUUAAUGUAUAGUUUUGUAAACUACGGUUAUUUGAUUAUACAUGAUAUAAAAUAUACCAUGUGGUAUAAAUGUUAUUUUGAAAGAAGCAUUUUUAGUGUGUUUUGUAUUUGGAUUGGGAUCUUAAACCUUUGGUACAUGUUGGGUCUUGCAAUUCCGUCACAUGGUUUAUGUAUGAUGGUUCAUAUGUUACCUAGUCUUGCAAUUCCGUCACAUGGUUUAUGUAUGAUGUAUGAUGGUUCAUGUGUACAAUAAAAUAAACUUGGAGCCUUUAAUUAUGUAAAUAUGUUUUCUCUUAAUUUCAUAAUAUGUUCCGUGUUAACCAUCAUUCAUUCUAUAGAAAAAUGAAAACCAUAAUAAACUAAAGAAACACUAGUUUGCUAUUAGACUUGGGGUUUAGGCACAUUAAUUAAUCCAUAUCAUACAUUGCAUCUUACAUAUAUUGUUUGGUUUAUAAUGACUAAGAUGUUUACAUACUUUAUUACAUAAAGUAUAUUUUAAAUCGCAAUGUUUUUGUUUUUGAAAAAUGAGUUUAAUGAUUUUAAUGAUGUUUUAUGAUGAAAAAAUAGAUUAAUUUAAAAUUUAAAAACUUGUGUCAUUUAUAUAUUAACCUUAUGAUGUCAAGCUCAUAUGUGAUUCACUAGGCUUCACAAAUUUAACUUACUAUUUUGAUGUCGGUUAAAAUUAGGGGAAAAUGUCAUUUUAACCCAACGAACUUGUCAUUUUUAUUUUAAAAGGUGAUUCAAAUAUUAAUUUUGUACAUUAAGGGAAUGAAGUCGGGUAUACCAUUUUAAAAGAUCCUUUUUUAACUUGAUAUCGGUUAAGCCGGUAAAAUGUGGUGAUAUAUACAAAAUUAUUCUUUCAAGCAUUUUGACGAGCACCUUCUAUGCAUUGCUUAUCUUCUUCUUGUUUUUCUAACUUGUUUGUUUAAUUUCCAAAAACUAAUGCAUGUGCAUCCAUCCCCAUCUUCAUCAGUUCAGCAAAUAAAGGAAAAUGAUAUUAGAGAGAUUAGGUGAGUGAUGUUGUUGGUAGAGUCAGUUUCCGAUGAGGAACCGAACAGAGAAGAAACAAGAGGCUGAUCCCUCUUUUGUGUUUGUGAUGACAUUAUUUCAAAUGAUUUGUAGGAGUGUGAUGUACGAAAAUAAAGUUGAUAUCAUAGCUUGACUUGUAACAUCCCAAAAAUCAAGGGUAAAAAUUUCAUUUUUAUUAUAAUCAAAACACUGAUGUAACUUUAUCCAAACAUUUAAAAGCAUUUCAAAAUAAAACCAUUAUCAGAGUUCAUUCCCAAAAUCGCAUAUUUCAUAAAACACGAGUGUAUGCGCUGCGAUCAAUUCGGACCCUUCCAUUUCGAACCGGAAGUACCUGAAACCAUAAACCACAAACUGUAAGCACAAAUCUUAGUGUGUUCCCCACAUACCACAUACCAAACAUAUCAAACAAGCCAUACUUAUCAUGCAUAUCAAAUCAAUCAAUAAAAGUGUUAUGUGCAACCCAUAGUCUUGCCAGGCCGGGGGCCAAAACCCUGGGUCUUACAGACAAGUGCCAAGAGUUACCUCCUAGUCUUCCAUGUAAGCAUCACAAAUACAACUAACAUACAAUCUAGUUAGCUAAUAAUUUCCAGAGUUCAGACUCUGGUCUUGCAUACAGAAUGCUAGGAGUCGCGUCAUGGUCUUUCAUUCAAAAUGUCAAGGGUCACCCCCGAGUCUUCCUAUAAUACAUAAACCGAAUGGGCCGGCAUUGGUGCCUUCGACCCAUAGAACAAUGAGGAGACUCACCUUUAAUGCAAAAGCUCACUGAAAGAAAUCUCUAGUUGUUUCCCUGACGACAGCUCCGAGCUAUCAGAUCAAAAUAACACCCAAUUAGCAAUUGGAUUCCAUUCUAAGGCCCACGAUCCAUACUUGGGGUAAAAUGAGCAAUUUACCCCUAACCCAACAUGAACUAAAACGGAGGCCCAAAACCAAAAGAUCCAUAAAGGCCCACUAAUGGCCCAAUUUUCCAAAUUGGGCCCAACCCCUUAUUGGCCUUAUCCUAAUUCCAUAAUUUCCUUAGUUACAAUUCAUAUUACCUCAAGUACCUCUUAGGACAUACUUGGUCAAAGACAAAAUUCAAAUGUCCAGAUCAACAAUCCAUGUUGACCCAACACAUCGUGUUGUCCUUCAACACGCCAUGUUUCUCCAUCAACUUCGAAUCGAGAAAAACCAAGCCAACAUGCCGUGUUGACCAACAAACACGCCGUGUUCACCUAAGACCCAACAACUUAAUACAUUAAGCUGUCUUCAUCGAAUCAAAGAGCUCCAAAGCUCAGAUCUCGACCAAAAUGAGAUCUAGAAGGGUAAAGUUUCCAACUUUACCCCUAGGAACCACCAAAAUGGUUCCAAAACCCAAACCCUAGACUUAAAAGAGUGAGGGCUUAACCAUUAAGCACUUAAUCCUCAAAGACAAAGCCCCAAAAUGCAGAUCUGACAACCUAGAGUUGGAAGACCAAGUAAAGUUGCCAACUUUACGUUCAUGCAUGUCAAGGAGAAGCUCAAAUGCUCAAGAAGGGCUUAAUAAGGGACUUAAUGCAUUCAUGAGGCCUAGAAUCUUUUAAACCACCUUUUUGCCAAAGGAGUCUAUGAAAACCCCAGGUCUGAAAGAAUAAGCCUGUGGGACAUCCUAAUCCGAACAUCCAUUCAAACCAUGGCUAAAACAUACCAAUUUAACCUAAAAUUAAGAGAGAUUUAAGCAUCUAGCAAUUAAGAUAAGAACUUGAUACCUCAAACUCCUUGCAGAAUGGGUAGUGGUUCCGGAUCCAAAACUUUCUUCUCCAAGCUUAGAAACUUCAAGAUCUUUUAACUCCUUCACAAUGCACAAAAUGAACACCAAACUUUCUUCCAAGGCUCAAAUGCUUGACAAUGGAGGCUACAACUUGUUUUAUGGUUUUGAUAACAAUGGAGGCUAAUAAGGAGGCCAUCCAAAGGGACUAAAGGCCUUUAAAUAGGGUGCAACACCCUAAAAUAUGGGGUUUCCUUCCCAGCUGCCAACACGUCGUGUUGAGGCACCCCAACACGCUGAGUUGGUUCAUUUAAUCAUCGCGAUUCUUCCAUCCUAGACACGUCGUGUUGGUUCCUCCAACACGCCGUUUCUAACCCGAAAAGAGGCUUUACUCCCCAACAAUUUCUCCUCAAGAUUCUGGGCGUUACAUGACUGCAAUCACAACCGCAAUGGUGGCAACCACAAAAGUCCAUCGGGAAUGGAAUCGUAAAAGAUUCUAGCGGUGGAAGCAUGGUGUUUAUCCAUGGUAAGUUGGCCUCUGUUUUGACAAACUAAUUGUACUUUGUUUCCUGAUACUAUGCCCUUCUGAGGGGUAAAACUCAACAAAUGGCCUCUGAUUUGAUUUUCAGUAAAAAAAAUUAUCUAAAGACACACUUUGUAUCUUUAUCUUCUCUGAUUUCUUUAUUUCAUUGUUUGUAAUACCAUCAUUUCGUUUUAGCCUUAUUGAUUCUUGUUCACCAUUGAAGUUCUUUUUCUGUUUAUCAUCCAUGGCUUCUUCUUCUCCAUUUUCACUAACUUUUAGGUCCAUAUCUGCUCCUAAAAGUGUUGUUUGUACUACCUCUUAAACAUCUUCAAUACAUAUAACUGCUUCCAUCUUCCGAUAUUGUAGGUAAUACAUCUUCUGAAAGUGUUUCUGUAUGGAGGAUACUUGUUCAGGUGAAGUAAUAAGGAUCUAUUGCUUUACACACAAUGGAGAACUCAAGUUCAUCCCACCACAACCAACAUUUGUGUUCGGAAUAUUCUAUGUAUAAUCAUUAAAUGCAAAUGUGACGUGGAUUUUAUUUUUAUUUUUUAAGUGAAAUUAAGUUGGAAACCGAUAAUUACAAGUUAAGGUACCUUUUUAGCAGGUCAAUUUAGACUUCAUUCCCUUGUAAAAAAAAAAAAAAAGCUUGAGAGAACUUUUAAAACAAAAAUGACACGUUGGGAAUUCUCAUCCUAUGAGAUAAAAACAAAAGAGAACGGUACCUCUAUUAAAAUUUUAUUAAUAGAAAAAAUUAAAACAAUUGUAAGUUGGGAAUUCUCAUCCUAUGAGAUAAAAAAGGCCCAAGGUAGGGAUGUUGAUCGGAUAUAGCUUUCGGGUUUUAGCUAAAGUUUAGGUUUUCUUCAAAUAAAAAUAAGAACCCAUAACAAAAUUGUAUUGGAAUUCGGGUAUUCGGAUAUGGGGAUUUCAGGUAUUACCCGUAAAAAAAUUUAUAAAAAAAGUUAGCAUGUUGCCUAGACUGUAGGGACCAAUUAUAUAACUAUAUUUGUAACUCACAAAAAUGAACCAUUCAUGAUUCUGCAUAUAACUAUAAACAUUCGAAAAUGUUGUAGUGGUCUGUGGUACAAAAAUAAGGAAGGAAAAAAAGUGCAAUUUUGUUUCAGAAGCAAUGAUGUGAUGUGUGAUCGAUCAGUAAAGAAGAGGAGACACAUUCACACAUAUUUUAAAUUGUAAUGGACCAUGUAUUAUCUAAUAUUUCAAGGGUUUUUUUUUUAAAUAAACAGGUAUUUAGGUAUAGCCAAAACCGUAUACACAUACCUUACCGAAUACACCAAACCCGAUAAACCUGACCUAUUCUACCCGAAUUCAAUACGGUUCGGUUUAUUAUUUCGGGUAUCGAUUAUUUUCGACAUACCUUGCCCUCUAGGAACAGCCAGAACAACCUAAAAAUAUCAUAAAAGAGACUUAACGGGAAUAUAACAUGCUCUAAACCUAAUACAUAGACAUAAACAUAACCAACCAUAAAGAAAAGAAAAACCUUUAAGUUGCAUGGGGUAAUUACAAUCAAUAAAGCAAAAUAGAUAAUUUGUUGUAUGUUUGCCUUCACAUUCGUUGUACGUUGAUAACUAAGUUUUGUUAAUUAAAGUUUGAGUUAAUUAAAAAAAAGUAAUUGCAAUAAAUUUGUCACUUUUCUAACAUUUAAAUGGCAAGUUGUCACUUUUCUAGCAUUUAGAUGACAAGUACUAUAUAUAAAGAGAGUAGGUGCAUAAAUUUACAGUUGAAAAAAAAUGACUUAGCAGGGUAAUAAUCUUUGUUGUUUUGUUCACAUUUAGGCAACUUCUUUAUUUUUGUACACAUUGGAUCAUUUAACUUGUUAUAUGUGUUCACAUAUUGUCAUUGUCAUCGACUAUAGUAGGUGACAAUGGUAAUAUUUGAACCAAUUAAGAGUUAAAUGGUUAAAUGUGUAAAGAAAAAGAAUGUUGUCUAAAUGUGAAUAAAACGAAAAGUUAAUUACUCUAAUAAGUCAUUUUCCCCACUUUUAAUAGCGAUUUUAUUUUUCAUAUUUGUUUGUAUUAUUUUUUCCAAGCGUUAUUUUUAAAAUAUCCAUAAUUUCCUAAAUAUUAAUUAAAUAUUGAUCAAUUCUAAACUUUACUUUUUAAUAAAUAAAUAUGUUUUUGUUUUGUGAAAUAUUUUAUAUAGCCUCUUAUAAUUUUUUUUAUUUUGUUUUUAAGCAUAUACAAUAUUUUAAAAGUAAAUACUAUCUAACAAUAAAAUUAAAUAUGUAACAAUAAGUAUGAAGAGUUUUUUUAAAAAAAUAACAAGAAAAUAUUACUUAGCAAAUAUAAAAACAGAAAAAACUUAUAUAAUGUAAAUGUUUAAAAUAUUACAACUUUUUAAUUAGAAGUUUAUAAACUUUUAAUUUUUUAAUACAACGUUUUAAACUUAUAAAAAAAUAUUAAUUUGUCAUACAAAAUCUGUGAAACACUCUAAAAAUGUUGUAAAAGAAAGUAAGUUAAAAACUUGUAAGAAAAAAUUAAAACAUUUAUAAAAUAUUUGUUUAAAAACACUUGUAUUAAAAUUAUAUGAAAGUAUAAAAAAAAAAGUUAAAAAAAAAUUAUAAACAAAGUUUAAAACAUUGUAUUAGAAAAACCUAUAGGAAAAAAAAAUAUUAUAAAAUGUUGUAAGAAAUUAUAAAAAAUCUUAAGAAAUUAUAAAUAAAAAAAGAAGAAAAAAAAUUGCUCACAUUUUGACAAUUUUUUUUGUACACAUAGGUCAAAUGAAACAUAGUAUUAGCAUGUGAUUUAUCAACAAUUAAUAUCUAAAUUCGAAAUAACUCGGAGGAUGUGUUUGGCAUGGAGCUUUUGUAAGCGUUUGGAAGUUAUAGCUUUUAGCUUUUGAUAAAACGCUCUAGUUUAAACAAAAAGCUUCAUUUGACAGUACGGACGUUUAACUUUUAGUUUUAACAAAACGCUCCGAUUUUAAAAGCUACUUCAUAUAGCGUUUAACAAAACGCUCAUGAGCUUUUGAAAUUAAUUUCCAUAAUUACCCUUAUAUAUAAUCAAAUGUCCUUUUAUGUAAUUUUAUAUAUUUCAAAAGCUUACAGCUACUUUUGCCAAACAUUCAUAUAACAAAUAAAAGUUACAGCUUCCCGCUACUAGCUACAUGUUGCACGCUAGCAGCUAAUCGCUAUCCGCUUCCAGCUAACAACUACUUUUGCCAAACACGCCCGAAAUUUCAUUAAAAAUAUAUUCAAUUAUUUAAUUUGUAUACUAUUUUUUUUAUCAUUCAAUAUCCUGUUUCUCAUGCAAAUUCUUAAUCUAAAACUUCAAAGGGUAAUAGCAUAAAAGACAUUAAGUUUACACCAAAAUUUUAAUUUGACACUGUGGUUUUUUUUGUCUCAAAUUUAACACUGUAUUUUUUAAUUUUUUUAUAAUUUUGACUACUUGACCGGUCAACCAGGUUAUCUGCUGACAUGACAUGCUGACGUGUCAAAAUUAAAUUUUUUUUGCACAAAAAACACUAAGUUUUCACUUUUUUCGAUUUUGACAUUAAGUUAAUUUUUUCUUUUCAAAUUUGACACUUUAUUUCUUUUUUUCCAAAUCAAACAUCAUUUUUUACAAUUUUGUUCAAUGUCGAACAUUUUCCAUUUAAAACCGUAUACCGGGUUGACAAGUCAAGAUGUUGGUGUCAAAUUUUAGACAAAAAAACACAGUGUCAAAUUAGAAUUUUGGUGUAAACUUAGGGGUUCUUUGUUUUUUUUUUUUUGUGAAGAUCUGCGCAACCACUUUUGUCUGUGCCGUGCAGACAACGCGUAGACAUAUGCCCUCACAGAGUGUUUGUUUUUUAGAAGUGCACAGAUCAAAAAACGUUUGUGCGAGGUCUUCCUGGCACAGACAUGGACCACUGUCUUCAAAGGUCUUCAGACCCCAUUUUACCUAAAAAAACAUGGGCCACCGUGCAGUUUUUUUUUCUUUAUUUUUUUGCUGAAAAUGUAUUUUUAAUGUUUAUGAUAUGAACUUAAGUUUGAAAAAUCAAUUUAUUUCGACAGCUGCAGACGUUAAAAACAAAUAGAUUUUUUAUUGCAGACUGCAGAUAUUUGAUCCACCUGUUCUACCGCAGAGGCUUGCAGAUGUAGUCUGCAGACUGCAAAUAUUUUAGCUUCAAAAAAACAAACAACACCUUUAUGUCAUUUGUACUAUUUACCCAACUUCAAAAAAAAAUAUUGGAACUUUUUGCUUACUACUAUUGUUUUAUGACUAAAGUAAAAAUAAUAAAUAUUGAACAAUGUUAAGAAAAAAAUAAGAAAAUAUUAUUAUUAGUAAUUAAACUAUUAAUCAACAGAUAAACAAAUUUAAUUAAAAAAAAACUAAUUAUAUAUCUAGAAUAAAAUUUCAAUUUGUUAGAAAUGAAUACAUUAAAUGAUAAAUUGAGUAAUUUAUAACUAAACUAGUUUAUAACCAUUGAGAACUACAGUUAUAAAAUUAAUUAAAUUUUCAUAAUAAAAAAUUAAAAUUAUUAAUCAAAUAUUUUAAAUAAAUUAUUACUUAUGAAAUAUUUUUUUAGUUAUAUAAAAUUAUAAUCAUUGAUUUAAACAAAUACGUGAAGUUAUAUCACCUUAUAAUUUGUAUUGAUUUUAUUUUAUUUUUAAUCUAAUGUUAUUAAUUUAAUAUAAUUAAAUUGAAAAAAUUUAAAAUUUAAAAUUUAAAGUGGAGAAUCAAUUAUUAACUUAAUAUAAUUAAAUGAGAAAGUUAAAAUUUGAAAUUUAAAAUGGAUAAUUAAUAGAUUGACAAGUGGCAUGAUAAGGGACAUAUAAUAUUAACGAUGAUUUUUAAUAUUAUGACACUUGUCGGUAGGAGAAUAAACCUAUUCAUUUAUUAGAAUAAGGAUUAAGUUUUUAAAGAGUUUCAAGCAACUAAAGUUAACUUAUGCAUUUGCUUGGCAUAAAACAAACAAUGUUGGAUUAGUAAAUAUAUAUUUAGAAUUAGAAUCCAAACAAUGGAAAAAAUAAUUAUAAUAUUAAUAAUAAUAAUGGUAAUAGUAACAUACAACAUAAUUUUGUGUUCUCUGUGUGACAAAAGCCAAACACAGAGGCGUGUUUCAUACAGAAGCUGUUUAAUAACAAGUGAAGUCUGGUAAGCCUCCUAGUCUGCUAUUUCACGUUAGGUUGGUUGUUGCAUGUUCGAAUAUCCUUCUCUCCUUAAUUGAAAUGAAAAUCUACUUCCAAAACAGAGAUUUUGAAUUGGAAAAGGUCUAAAGGCAGGAAGUUUGUAUUGACAGUAGAGGUCACAGACCUAGAAAAAUCGCCUACCCAAGGAUGAAGUUUGUAAUCACCUCUCAUUCUUUUUGUCCCAAAGUUAAGAUUCAAUUUCAAAUGGAUUUGGUUUUACCUUGGUAUAUGUAUGAAUUUUCAAAUUCAACAAAAAUAUCAUGAGAUUAGAAGAAUUUUUCAUUUCAUGUACUCAUAAAGUGAAGAGGGAGAUAGAAUUUGAUGUAACUUGAAGUUAUUUGUUGAUUUUUUACCACUCAAAACUUUGAGGUAAUUCUUAUUUGUUUCUAUAAGCUGGAGCACUGUAUAUACUUAAUUUCAUUACGCUUUUGUUCGUAGUGUGAUGUCACAAAAUCCAAGGCUUUUUCUUGAAUUUCAAUUUUGAAGUUACUAACAUGCCCAUGGGUUGUGUUAUGAUGGUCAUGUUUUGUACUAUAAAAUAAAUGAAAUACAACCCCAAUAAUCCAUAAUGAUUUAAUAGAAAUUACUUUGUUCUUUAUGCCAGACAUGGGCCUAUGCUCCUGCCUUUACCUUGUUGGCUAUAUUAAUGUCAAAGUAAGCUUCAAAUUUCCUUUUCCUCUUUUUAUGAUUUGAGGCUGAUUUUUUUUUUUGUGUGUGACAGAUAAUGUUAAUGUAUUUUGCCAAAGAUCAAUGUUAUAGAAGUUGUUAGAUCAUUAGUUGUUAUAAUAGUUAUUGAGGAUAAUAAAUUACUUUUAUUAACAAAAUUUAUAUAUGUUAUUAUAUAAAGCAUUUUAGUAGAACAGGUUGUUCUUUUUCAAAAUUAUUACAGACAAGAAUAUGAGUUGAUAUUGGAUUUGGGGUUCUUAAAAAAAACAUUUUAUGCCUCAAUUUUUAAUCAUUUGCUUUUUACAAGUUAGUUGAUGUGUACAAAGUUGUAUAUGUACUUAGAAACUUAUACCUUUUAAAUUAAUAAUUUUUUAGCAAACAUUUGAAUAGUCAUAUACGAUUUCGAAUUAUGAAAUUUGUUUCGUUUUAUCAUCCAUGGUUUCACAGGUUUAAAUUAUAAAACACCGAGAAGAGAAGAGACGGAAAAAAUACAUAUACAAUUACAAUUACAAUUAAAAAUAAUAAAAACAAAAACAAUCAUAUCAAUAUCAUAUCAUAAUCAUUAGGGGUAAAUGCAAAGAAUAACAAUAUAACCAACAAUUUGUUAUGAAAACAUUAUUCUUUGAAAACCUCCCCAUUAUAACAAUGCGUAAUCAGUUACUUUUUGCACAUCCCAUUAAAAGGAGAGCAAAAAGAAACAAUAUACUUUCCCUCGCUUUUAUUCAACUUAAAUAUCCUAUAUGAACAAUGACAUCAUCAUUCAAAACUCAAUGCUCUAAUAAGAAAUAAUAUGAAACUUUCACCAAAUUUCAUCCAAACUCAUAAAAGAUGAACAGGUCUUUAAUGGAUGAAACGAAACAAAAAGUCAAAAAGUAUAUAAAAUUGUAGAUAAAGAUGAAGAAAAGAAACACUUAAAACUAUACACCCAAAAUGAAACAAAAUGGUGUGAUGAUCAGAAAUCUAACCACUUGGUGUAGUAAACACAGGUAGUUGGAGAGAUGAGUCCAUCAGGUGUACACUCUCUAAUUCUUGGACAAACACCACAAGGAAUUGACACCAUUGCCCCUGUUUUCAAACCCUGAGCGGAAUCCCCUGUUGUAUAUCUAUAACAUAAAUUCCCAAUAGGAAUGGAAUGGUAUUCCCCCAAUCCAGUACUCUUCACCUCUAUAAUCUUAUUAUCCAAAACCAUAGACUUCAAUAUCUCACUUAUCUGCUGACUCGUGCAAUCGAUAUUAAUCAGCCCAUUUUUAACAGAAAAAUCAUAUACUCCAUCAGCAGUUGCAACCUUUAGCUUACGAAUGAUCCUGAGGCAAAGGUCUUUAAGACCAUUAAUGAAGUCCUGAUCAAGUUCCCCUUUUGAAUACCAUGAACCACCUGUGAUCUCCUGUGAUGGCUCAAAUUCAGCUGCAAUAUAGUGUUUUCUUCCCUUUAAUUGGACAUGGGCAACUUCUUUUACUAAACCAGAAGUUAGGAGGUUCUUUAUAGACUUGUUGAAAGUCGGAUCUGGGAGUCCUGCUUCCUGCUUUAAAUCCUUUACAAAGAUUGCCAUUUCUCUUUUGCUUUUGAUCACAUUCAGUACUAUGCGAUCUGAUUCCGCUAUAUUACCACCUGUUUUUGGUUUCGUCUCUGGGGCUUUUCUUUUCUGUAAGAGACUCAUCUUGAUGAAGCUGCAACAACACUAAACACUUUGAUUUCAGUCAUAGAAUCGAAUCAUGCAAAUAGAACUGACUUCAUUACUGAGUUUCUAAACAAACAGAGGCAGGCUUCACACUGAUCAAAACAGACUUCACAGUUCACAAGAAAUUAACACAGGGAUCUCAGGAACCAUAAUGAUAAAAAAACAUACAAGAGUGAUCGAAACAGGAAGUAGAAGUAUAAUGAUCAAAAGAAAGAAACCAACAGGAAUAGGAACUAUAAUCAUCAAAAGAAAAUGAAAGAGCGCAAAAAUAAAAAUAAAAAAUAGGAAAAAACUUCCAAUCGGACCUGAGGUCGAUGUCUGGUGGCCGGAAGUGAAGCUCUGAACGCCGUCGAGCAGAAGAAACGUGAAGGGCUUGGAGGUCGGAGGUCGAAGCGGAUUGAUUUCUAAUAACCUGAAGCCCUAAUUUCUAUUACUCUCGUCGUGGGAUAUACCAUGGACAUUUUUUACAUUCCAGUUAACCUUUAUAAGUAUUAAAUUAUGUGAGCCAUUUAUAUUUGGAUCAUGAUAGUUCUUGCAUUUAGAUGCGUUACGCCAUUUUUAGGUAUUUGGAUAGUAGUACGGACAAAUAAAGAGCCUUUCAAAUAAAUCAUAGUUGUGAAGAGAUCAUAAAUUGUUCGCAACAGUCUCAAACUCAGAUUAAACUAUUGUGCUUGUUAGAAUACACGCAUACACACAAAAAAAAAAAAAAAAAAAAAAAAAAAAAAAAAAAAAACAAAUGUGUCGUUCUUUGCAAGUGGGAAAAAUGAAGUGGCAACAAACAAGAGGCUGAAAGAGAUAGCAUCAACAACAAUGGAUGAAAUGGAAAUUAAAAAGUAGAAACCUUGGGUUCAACGGAGAUGUGCAGCCGUAGAUGAUGCGAUGGCAGAAUUGUCCCAAGUGAUUGUGAAUUGGUGAUUUUGUGCGUACAUGAAAGGGUUUUACAUUUAGGGCUUUGUACGCCCACUAAAGCGUGCGAAUUUUAAAAACCUAUCAAUGUAAAAUUUUCAUUUAAAACCCAUUAAAACUUGAAAAAUCAAUUUAUACCCUUAAAACUUGGCCCUAGACCUCCCGUGAGAGGCAAAUCGCUAAAAAGUGAACACUAACAAUAUUUUGGAUUUGUCCGGGUUUUGACUCUAGACCUUCAUAUAAAAUUUCACUCAUUAAUCAUUAAGUUUGUAUCGUGGGGAACAACUCCAUUUGAGAGCUUUUAAAAUGAUAAGUCGUAUCAUAUGAAUGACUCAUGUCGAACCUAUCUAAAGGUCAUCAUGUUAGGAUAAGUUGUGGGGCACUUUUGCACUUUUGGGUGUGUUUGAAUCUUUGGAUUUUUUUUUGUAGAAUUAUGAGGAUGUUUGAGAUUACUUUUCAAACUGAUUUAUUAGAUUUUUGGCUUUUUCAAAAAACCAAAUAUUUAAAAAGGUGUCCGGCAAUUCCAAAAGUAAUUUUGGAUUGACUUUUUGGUAAGAAGAAAAAAUGAGCUUUUUUAGAAGUCACGAAUUGCUAACUUUUGAUGACUUUUGGUUUUUUGGCUUUUGUCACCUCAAAAGUUAAUCUAAACAUAUUUUAAAAUUUUUUUUUUUUUGAUAAAAACCAUAAACCAAAAAGUCUUUUUCUUUUGUCAAAAAUGACUUUUUAAAUUAAAAAGCAAUCUCAAACACCCCCUAUAUACAUCAACCACUAGUCUCUCAUCGUAUAGACUUAUAAAACCUUUAGUCAUUAAAAAAACUCGAAUUAAGAAAAAAAAAUGUCAAUCUUAAAGUUUUUAGAAAAAAAACCCUCAUAAUCCAAAAGUUAUUUCAAGUAACCUUUAAAGAUAAACUUUUUUUUUGUGCUUUAUUGAUGUUCAUUUAUAUAAUUUUACACAUUUUACAAACUUAUAUAUAAUUUUGUCUAAUAAUUCUAUAUAAUAAAAGUUACAGCUUCUGAUUAUCAUAUAUUUUUGUGAAACAUACUCUACUAUCCUUAUACUCUACUAUCCUUUAGGCUCAUCAUAGUUUGAGCUCAUCAAAUGAAUUUUCGAAAGCCUAUGCAAAGUGAAAUUAAAAUACCUAACUUGAAAAUGAUAUAUGGACAUCAUUAGGCAUGUCCAAUAUUAUUAUAGUUCAAUUUUACAAUUAUAAUGAAAACUAAACUAAAUUGAUAUAAAGUAUUAAAAAUAUAAGAAAAAUAAGAAAGGAUGUGGCUCUCACUUCUUAUAUAGUCCUACUCAACAAUAGUUAUAAAAUUAAAAAAAAUAAUAAUAAAAAAAAACCAUUAUAGGCGCAAAUAAAUAAUGUAUUUUCUCUCCAAAAUUGAGAAUGAACAAAUUGUGUGGUCGAUUUACAUGAACAAAUUGUGUGGAAGAAAAAUAGAUUACCUUUAAUGUCUACAUUUCUUAUUUUGUUGGACAAAAUUUGAUAAGAUUUUUUUUUUUCAAUUUGAUUAGUGUCCAAAGCGGAAGCCUCCAAUACAAGAAUGGUAUUCUUAGAUGGAGCGUGAAGUUUUGAGUGGUAUAAUAAUGUUUUAAAGUUUUUGGUAGGAUCAUGACUAAAUGAGUACUAAAUUACUAACAAUUGUAUUUGCCAUAAUUCUUAGCAGUGAACAUGACUAAAUGCAAAAAGAAAUAGCAAUGUGCUUCCCAUCUUUUUUAUUAUACUUGAAUGACAUGGCUAUGAUAGAUACAUAAACAUUGCUAUCUCUUGUAUUUAUCUGUAAUAAUUAUAAUAAUAAUGAAAAUAACUAUAUGAUAAUAAAAUAAUAUGAUUAGGCUCUUUAAAUCUAGAAAUUUGUUUAAAUUGUACCAAUAUAACCGUUUGUUGCACAUCCUACCAAUUUUGGGUGCUUAGUUGGCAUACAUGUUUGAACGACUAGGAAAAGAAUCGCAUGUUUAAAUGAAUCUGAAAGAAAGUCGUUAGAUAGAUAACAUAUUUCAUUUCAAUGCCUAACAAAAGAAUAUUCAUUGAAUCAAAGAUCAAACAUUCCAAACUUAUAAAAGACAAACAGGUCUUAAUGGAUGAAACCAAACAAAGAGAUUCUAGAUCAAGAUCAAACACCAAAACAAAGAUAUUAUAUGUACCUCAAAAUGCUGCAGAAAAUGGAAACAUGGUGUCAUGAUCAGAAAUCCAACCACUUGGUAUAGUAGACACAUGUAGUUGGAGAGAUAAGUCCACCAGGCGUACACUCUCUAAUUUUUGGACAAACACCACAAGGAAUUGACAUCAUUGCCCCUGUUUCUAAACUCUUAGACUAAUCAUCUGAUGAACACCUAUAACAUAAAUUCCCAAUAGGAAUGGAAUGGUAUUCCCCCAAUCCAGUACUCUUCACCUCUAUAAUCUUAUUAUCCAAAACCAUAUACCUCAAUAUCUCACUUAUUUGCUGAGUCGUGCAAUCAGUUUUUAACAACCCUUUGUUCUUGAUUAUAUCCAUUACUCCAUCAGCAGUUGCAACCUUUAGCUUACGAAUGAUCCUGAGGCAAAGGUCUUUAAGACCAUUAAUGAAGUCCUGAUCAAGUUCCCCUUUUGAAUACCAUGAACCACCUGUGAUCUCUUCUGAUGGAUUAAACUCUGCUGCAAUAUAGUAUUUUUUGGUCUUGAAUUGGACAUGGGGAACUUCUUUUAUUAGACCCAAAGCUUGGAGAUUCUUGAGACACUUGUUGAAAAUGGACUCUGGGAGUUUUGUUUCUUCCUUUAAAUCCCUUUUCAAGAUUGCCAUUUCUUUUUUGCUUUUGAUCGCAUCCAGUACCAUGCCAUCUGAUUCGGCUAGACCACCACCUGGUUUUGGUUUAGGCUCUGGAUUUUUUCUUUUUUGUGGGAGAUCCAUUGCAAGAAAGCUAAACACUUUGAGUAAUAUUCGAUGAUGAAUCUGCAAGAACAAAUAGAACUUGAUUUAGUCAGAUUCUACACAAGCCCUACCAAAACAAAAGAAAAGUCAAAAUUAAGGAUGUUAGAACAUGCAUAAUCAUUUUAUGGAGCAAGACGACUAAAAAUUUUGUAUCCAACUAGCGUUUACUCUUUUUAUUGAAGUUGUAUGUGUUCAAUUCAAUACAAUAGGCAAAGAAUAGAGAAAGUUAUGUGCAAAAACACUGUUUGAAAGGCAAAUACAUUAUCUAUUUAUACAGAGGCGAUAAUCAGCAGCUAGAUUCUUUCUCGAAUCAACAAUUAAAUACUAUCAACUUAGACAUUGUACAUUGUUUAUAUUCUAGUUAACAAACAAUUAGUCGAUUAUGUGAACUAAGUUGUAUCUGGACCAAAAUAGUUUUGGGAUUUCGAGGCGUAACUUCGUGUUUAUGUAUCUGGAUAGGAGUAGAGAUCACGCAAUAGCUGUGUAGAGAUCAUAAAUAAACUGAUCGCAAUAGUCUCAUAGUCUCAUCAAAUCAUUGAUCAUUCACUGAUAAAAUCAGAAAAUAUACUUGUUAGGAUCUAUACAGAUACGUACACAUAUAAAACUCUGUCAAGUUGGACAAAAAAAUUGAACCCAAAUGCAUUGAGGAGAGGAUAGCGUCGAUCAACCACAAUGAAGAAUUAGAAAAUGAGAAUUGAAAAGAAUUAAGGAAACAUAACCUAACCUUGCUUGGGUUCAACGGAGCGCCGUUCGCAACCGGCGACCGUAUGAGAACUGACCGAUGCUACAGCUGAAGAAACGUGCGUGGCAAGGGAUAAAGAUCUCUUCUAUAUUUUGUAUUUUUACGGUAUUUUUGAUAUAACAAAGAAAUAUUACCAUAAUUAAAUAUGAUAAAUUUUAAAUAUAAAUAAUAUUUUUUACAUAAUUAAUGUAUUUUAUAUUUAGUUAGAGUAAUAUUAUACAUAAUUAAUGUUUAUUACAUUUAAUUAUGAUAAUAUUUAUUAUAAUUAAUGCUUUUUAUAUGUGUUUUUAGGAAAUAUAUUAAAAAAUCCCUAUUUUUAUAUCAUAUUUUUUUUAAAUGUUUUUAAAGCUAAGAUUUAGUUUUAUCAAUAUAAAGAUCUCUUCUAUUAUGAAAAUAGUUUAGUAUUUCACAUGUUAAACUUGUAAAAAACAGAAGUUUGAAAUAACAUCGUUUCGGACGUUUUGACAUUUCAAACCUAUGAAAUAGUAUUUUUCAGAAAGAAAAAUGAAAACUAUUUUUUUUACAUUCUAUUGAAUAUGCAAAAUUAGUAGUUAUUUGGGAAAAGCCUUUUUUUGGCGGGAAAAUGUCUCUUGAGGGUAAUUAACUUUUGCGUUUGUACUCAUUUGGUCCCUUCCUUUUUUUGUAUUCAAUAUACCAUCGAACUUGUUGUUUGUGUUCACCAUAACCCUUUUGACGGGCUUUUGACCUGUGAUAGUCAGUCAAAGGGUUAUGGUGAACACAAACAACAAGUUCGAUGGUAUAUUGAGUACAAAAAAAGGGAAAUAGACAAAAUGAGAACAAAUGCAACAGUUGGUUACCCUCCUGAUUCAUUUUCCCUUUACUCAUUUACAACAAAUCUCACGUCAUCUCCUACUGAUAUUAAUGACUUUAUGAGAUUCAUUCUUGCUUCUUUUCAAAACAUAACCCACGAAAGAACAUUAUNACGAAAGGACAUUAUUCAUACAUGUACAACUUUGUAAUGCACUUGAAUAUUUAUUAGGGGAAUCUUGACUAAGCAGGCGCAUUUCAUGACUACAUUUACAUUUCCAAUCAAAUGAUUUAUCGUAUCAUAGAUUCUAGACAAGUCUACAAACGAGUGGAAUCACAAGUGCUGUGAUUUUUUAGUUUACUUAGCUUUAAGAUCGAACUCAUGGGAUAAGAUAUAACAUUAAUAUGUACGAUAUCAUGCUGCUUUUGUAGACACAUUACCAUAAUAUUGUACAUAUUUAUAUUGUAUCUUAUCCCAUGAGUCCGAUCUUAAAGCUAAGUAAACUCAAAAAUCAUAGCACUUGUGAUUCCACUCGUUUGUAGACUUGUCUAGAAUCCAUGAUAUGAUAAAUCAUUUGAUUGGAAAUGUAAAUGUAGUGAUGAAAUACGUCUGCUUAGUCAAGAUUUCCCUAAUAAAUAUUCAAGUGCAUUACAAAGUUGUACAUGUAUGAAUAAUGUUCUUUCAUAGGUUAUGUUUUGAAGAUAAGCAAGAAUGAAUCUCAUAAAGUCAUUAAUAUCAGUAAGAGAUGACGUGAGAUUUGUUGUAAAUGAGUAAAGGGAAAAUGAAUCAAGAGGGUAACCAACUAUUGCAUUUGUUCUCAUUUGGUCCCUUUCCUUUUUUUUACUCAAUAUAUCAUCAAACUUGUUGUUUGUGUUCACCAUAACCCUUUGACCAGCUAUCACAGGUCAAAAGCCGAUCAAAAAGGUUAUGGUGAACACAAACAACAAGUUCGAUGGUAUAUUGAAUACAAAAAAAAAAAGACCGAAUGAGUACAAAUGCAAAAGUUAAUUACCCUUAAAAGUCAUUUUUCCUUUUUUGGCUAAGUUUUGUAAAAAAACCUAGGUAGAUUUAUCAUUUUCCAUAAACCUAUCGAUUUAAAAUUCACAUUUAAAACCCACUAAAAUUUGAAAUUUUCAAUUUACACCUUUCAGUAUACGAAACUUAAAACUUUUCACAUUUAAGCCCCACUAAAAGUUGAAAGUUUCAAUUUACACCCUUCAAUAUACGAAACUUAAAAAAGCCCUCAAAAACACGUUCACUUCAUGUAAUCUCAUUCGUAUUCAUCAUAAUUCAAGACUUGGAGCUAGUCAGUUGUUAGUUGGACACUUCUCUUAUUCUUGUAUUGUUCGUCUUUUCUUUUUUCAUAUAUAAAUCCAAUAAUCACUUGCUCUGUUUGUUAAUGUUAUCUCUCGGGACAUUAUUAAUUCUUACAUAUCUUUCAUUUGUUCAAUUUCAUUAUAACUGUUUUAAUUUAAAUUAAUCUAAAAUUAUAUUAUUUCGAAUUUGUCAUUCACCAAAAUCGAGGAUGAUAAAUUUUAUGGUCGACCAACGCGAUGCAUAGAACGAAUUUUUUUACUUUAUAUCCCUACUCAUCAGAACAUCUCUCUCUAUACAUGCUGAUGUAUGUGUGAGGGUGAUAUUAUAUAUGGAAGAAAACUCAAACAAACUAAUACUCUUUCUUAUAAAUUUUGUUUCUUCAUGGAUAAAGAUGUAUCACGGAUCAUGUUUCUGAGAUCUUUUUUGUGAUCAACAUCAAUAUUAAUACUUUCUUUCCUCAAAGCAUGAGCUUCUUUCUCUAAUCUCUUCUUUUCUGUCUCUGCUUGCUGUGCAUUUUCAUCACGUGCUUUCUUAAACAUCUUAGCAAACAGUGCCAAUAUUUGUGUCACUACAUAAACAACAAACCCCANNNNNNNNNNNNNNNNNNNNNNNNNUAUAUAUAUAUAUAUAUAUAAUAAAACUUUAGAUAAAUAAAUGUCAGGAAAGAGAGAGACAUUAACAUGAAAAAAGUAAAGAUCAAACCUUGCUCGAAUGGGCAACGAACAGGAUCUUCUCCAAAAUACUGUGAAAGUGAAUCAGCAUUUCUUCCCUGAAAAGAAAUACUUGUUGGAAUGAGAUGAAUAUAUUUAUUAAAAAAAAAAAGGUUGAAAACUCACCACUUCUGUAUACAAAGAGAUUAAUGCCCGGACUUCGGCUUCAGCAGUAUCAAGAAAAGCCUUCAACGCCUGAAAACAUGGUUGGUUUAAUAAAAUAUUCAUCAGUUAUAAUAAAAUAUAUACAAAAUAGCAACCUAGUUUAUGCUCAUUACCAAUAUAAUAAUCUGUUUUUUUAUCCAUAGUAGCAACAUACUUAAAUUUAUUUACCCAUAAUAAUAAUAAUAUAAUAGCAACAGACUUUUAUUCCGCAAUAUGUAAUUAUUAUGAAACUUGUGGAAUGCUUGCUUAUAAUUAUAAGAUUAUCAGUAAAGAAAUUUAAGUAGGCUGCUAUUUAUUGCAAUUUGUGGAUUAGUUUUUUUUUUUUUUAUGAAUAACUCUGACCUUUUGGAAGCCAGCUGAUAUAGCGCCAUCAUUUUCAGAAGCAGUGAGUUCUUGCUCAACUUUUUCAAGACCUUUACUCACUGCUUGCAUUUCUUCAGCCAAAUUCUUCAAUUGGAUCUUUCAUUUUUGGAAGGGAAAAAUAAAACUCAGCAACAGAUUGAUUAACUAAAAAAAAAAAAUCCCAAACCCUAAGUUUUACAAUAUUGAACUGAAAUACCUUGGAGGCAGUUUCUAGAUGAACAAGAUCCUUGUCAAAAUCUAGCAACUCUGGCAUCUUCUCAGCAAGGAGCUAGUAAAAAUAAACACAAAUUAUAAUUUAUAAUUUGAGUUGAGGUAUGUAUAAUAAAAAUUGUAAGAUGUUUUGAGAUUUGUACCUUGCAUAAAUAAUGCAUUAGUGUCAUCUUGUUGUUUCUUGCACGCGUAUCAGACAAUUUAAGAAGGCUGUCCAAUUUAAAACCUAUGGCGGAUCCUGCAAAACAGAUCAUGCAUGUCUUGUCUUUAUAUCAUGAAACACAAGUUUCUAGAAGAUUCUAGAAGCUACCAGACAUAAUAAAAGCUAUUUGUUUUGAAUGGUACCUCGAGCAGUGCCCUGAUUUAAAGCAUUUCCAAGCGUAAGAAUUGUUUGCAUUAUUUGACGCAACUUUGCAGAUUCCUUAACCUACAUUAUAACAUAUAGUAUUAGGUAAUUAUAAGGAUUUUGAUAGAAACAAAAAAUAAUAAUAAAUAAGAAUAAUGUUGAAAUGUAAGAAUCCUUACCUCAAUAGUAGCAUCAUUGAUUGCACUCAGGUUUCGUCUCAAAUCACUAACCUGGAAAUUUUUAGAAUUAAAUGCAUGAAAAACUAACAAUAAUGUUGAAAAAAAUGGUAAAAAGUCUUAUAUCUACCUGACUGGUAAAAGUAAUUGUGAAUGCAAAUACUCGAAGUUUUGACUCAACCCGUGGGACCUUCAUUAGCUCCAUGAAAAACUACAAACCCAUGACCAUGAAUUAUAAUAAAUUUCUCUCUCAAACACUUUAAAUCCUAGAGAGAGUAAAAAUACCAGUUCACACUUUCCAAGCAUUUCCUUGUUUCCUGUAUAGUUCUGAGAUUACAAGAAUUAUUUAGGACAAAUUAAGUAUUAUAAUAAUAAUAAUGGUAGUAAUUUGAACUUAUGGGAAAAGUAGAGACAGUACCUUUAAUGUCUCCAUUUCUUCUUUUGUGGGACAAAAUUUGAUAAGAUUUUCAACUUGAUCGAUGUCCAAAGCAGAAGCAUCCAAAGCAAGAAUGGCAUUCUAAGAUGGAAAAUGAAGUUUUUAAAUUUGAAGGAAAAGUAGCAUAGCAUGCAUCCUAAGAAGAAAAUGAACUUACAAUCAUAUCUGGGAGAGGAAUCUUUAUUUUGGUAAGCAUGAUUUCACAAUUAUAUGCUCUACGCAAGUCAACCUAAAAAUUAAACGUAAGAAAAUAAAUUGGAAAAACAUAAAAAUUAAUAUAGACAAAAAAUAUUAGAUUAGGAGUAAAUCCAGUAACUAACCAAUUGAACUUUUUCAGGUUUAUUGAUUUUUGAACCUCGUCGAGCACCACCUUUACUGGUACUGUCAGAAACAGAUGCUGCAGAAAAUAGACUCUCAAGCUCUGAUAUAUCAAUUUCAGGAGCCCUAUAAAAUCAAAUAUAAAACUUAUUUUACAUUUCUACUCUGGUUUUAUAUCAGAAACAGAAACUCCUAUUUGAUUUGUGAAUUAUAUACCUUGAUUGGUCUUCUUGUUUUUGAUUAUCAGCCCAUAAACUCCCUUGCAUAGCUCUGGUAACUUUGACCCAAUGCAAGGGCUUUAAAGAGGUCUUCUUAGGAGGAAUUGAAGAACCUGAACCAGCUUUACUUCUUCCACUACUUAAAGAACCAGUAAGACGCCCCCUUCCAGUGGAGGGGGCAGCUUGUUGCAGCCCAUUACCACCCUUUGUUCCGGGAGGUGGAGGUGGCGGUGGACCUGGCCCACCACUACGACCUGGAGGUGGAGGUGGAGGUGGUCCACCACUGCGACCUGGUGGUGGAGGUGGAGGUGGUCCUGGUGGACCUGUGCGACCUGGAGGUGGGGGUGGAGGUGGACCUGGUGGACCUGCACCAUUGCGGCCUGGAGGUGGAGGUGGAGGUGGAGGUGCACCAGGUGGCUUGGUUACUGAAGAAACUGUUCCUUGACGUGGAGCUCCAGGAGGGGGAGGAGGGAGCGGCGGUGGUGGUGGUCCAGGGGUAGCACUGGCUUUAGUAGCCACGCCAAAUGGAGGUGGAGGUGGGGGUGGGGGUGGUGAACUCUUGGAAAAACUAGAAGUAGAAGCGAUGGGAGGUGGUGGUGGUGGUGGAGCACCUCUUGAAGAAACAGGUGGAGGUGGAGGCGGAGGUGGUGGUGGUGGUGGAGCACCUCUUGAAGAAACAGGUGGAGGUGGAGGCGGAGGUGGUGGUGGUGGUGGAGCACCUCUUGAAGAAACAGGUGGAGGUGGAGGCGGAGGUGGUGGUGGUGGUGGAGCACCUCUUGAAGAAACAGGUGGAGGUGGAGGCGGAGGUGGUGGUGGUGGUGGAGCACCUCUUGAAGAAACAGGUGGAGGUGGAGGCGGAGGUGGUGGUGGUGGAGGUGGCAGUGGUGGAAGGGUCUUUGUGGAGAUAGGAGGCAAAGUGGGAGGUGGUGCUAUAGCAUCAUCUAAACUAUCAACAGGAACAUGUUUUGGUGAUGCUAAAGAACCAUUCACAUUACUUAAAUCAGCACUUGUAGGGGUGGAGGUGGAAUCACCUGCAUCUGAUAUCUUAUGCUGCAGCUGCAAUGGAUCCUCCAAUGAUUUCCGAUCAGGUGUGCCAUCCGAAAUAGAAUCUCUAUAUGAAGCUUCAUCAUAAAAGCUCACUGUAGAUGCAGGUGUACACGUCAUAUCAU
rnacentral:lncRNA from 1 species